CGAACGUACUCCUGCACUGGGCGAUCUCCCUGCUGAAGCCUCCUCAAAUCCUCCUCGAGCUUCUGCUUCACACUGUUGGGAAAGAACAUCCCAAACAGCAUUCCACAGAACUCAUCCCAACUCAGCUGCGCCGCCACUAGCCCCUGGUCUCGCCUCGUUCUCCGCCACCAGUCAUGAUCAUCACCUGCUAGACAGUGUACUCCCAGGGGUACCUGCUCCCCCUCUGGAACGAACAGAUCCUCGAAUAACUUCUCCAUCGCACUGACCCAUCCCUCAACAAUCCAGGCCUCAGUGCUUCUGCCAUCGAAGAUCGGUGGAUCAAAUCGGCAAAAACGAGCUAACCUCUCCGUCCACCGCUCCUGCUCGGCCUCAGUCAACGGUACUGGCCCCCUAGCAGGCGUAACUGGCGCUACUGGAACUGCUGCCGAUGGAGGAACUGCUGCAGCUGGUGCUGUCACUGGGGUAGUCGGGGGUGGAACUGGCGACUCUGGUGCCCUCGGUACAGAACUCGGUGGCUGAGCUAUCCUCUCACACAACCUCUGCAAUAGCUCCCCCUGCUGUCUCGUCACCUCGGUCAGGGCAGCUAACUGUGCACUCAAAUCAGGAGGUGCGCUAGUCUCCGGUCGGGCCCUCUGCUAAACAACUGGGGGUGCACUCGCCUCUGCCUGCUCAGGCAUCUCGGGAGAUCUAGCACGAUCCUGCGCCAACUGCGCACGCUCCCGCAACGACGGUCGACCUCGGCGACGAUACAUAACUGAAAGGAACAAAUCGGGGUCAGUUGAAACACAAACACUCUUGACCCAAUCAACGAAAGUCUGGAAGGCGGUCCCUGUUUCCCUCCAAAAUUAUGUCGUCUGCAGCCAACAUAAUUUCUCAGGCCGAAACAGGAACUCCUUCAGUCACUCACUCUACUAUAAGAGGAGUUAGAACAAAUAAUCAUUGACUUUUGCAAUUAAAUUAUGCCUCUCGCGUCCUGCUUUCCUAAGGUUUGCCAAACUUAGGUUUCCUAGGUCCCAACGACCUACAGCAAAGAUCUGAUACCAACUUAAUCUGUCACGCCCCGGAUUACACGUUCCCCGGGCACGCCGACAAAUCCGCCGUAUACAAAUAAAUUUUUCCUGUAUACGAAGCGAUAGCUGUACCUGUAAAUCAAACACUACUACGAAAAGUAGUAGAGAGCUGCUAGAGAAAACAGAAGCUAAAUAAAACAGAGUUUCAUAUACAUAGUUCAGAUCCAAAAUACAGAGCUACUCGCACUGGCGAGUUAAGUCAACUAUGUACAUAAACUCGAAACAAAACAUCUACCUGCAGUAGGGCACCUCUAGCUCAGUGCGUCGGGUAGGGCUCUAACUCGCGAUGCCCUUGCCUCGAUCCUGGUCCGCAGACGGUGCAGCAGCCGGCACCUGUGGCUCUGCAAAAACAUAGGUAACAACUGGGCGUGAGAACUACUGUAAAAACAAGUAGUCCUCAGUGGGUACCGCCCAAAACAACAUCGGUCACCCACUAAGUCUACAGAAGGGAGCUAAGAUAGAAGGAAAGCAGGAAUCAUACUCUACCGCUAUCAUCCACUACACUAUCAUGCUCUACACUAACCAACUGUAGAAAAUGUCAAAUCUGACCCAAUCCAAUCGGGACUGUAAGCAUACCCGUCCCCGGGACUGUGAAUACACCCGUCCCUGCCCCGUUGCGACUAUCAAGCUCUAUCCACACUAACUGGUCCGUGGAGAGCAAGUCCAACUGGCAUGAGCGACACCAACGCAAAAGCACAAGCCUGACUCCGGAGUGGCACUCGUGGGCGCUACCCAACCGAGUAUGCAGCGUAUCUCUGUCGAGCUCAAUCAGGCUCCAACUAGCCAAGGUCAAGUGAUCGACUCAAACUGGUCAAACAACCAACAGGUAACGUGCCCUCGGCACAAUCUGACGCCAAAAAGGCGAUACGGGUCCACCGUCAACUCUGACGGCACCCAACAGUCCGAAACGACCUGAACAACCCUGUAAAAAUCUACUCGGCGAACCAGCACGAGUGUAAAUACAUUCUAAACUACCUGGAGUACUCGUCUCGAAGAAACUGCGACAGUACAAUUUUCUAACGGCUCCUAGAGCUAAAUCAGGUAGUUAAAACUGGUGACAGGCCCAAAUCGCAAGUUUUCUCCUAAUUCAAUUUCCAAGUCCAACAUAUAUAAUCUAUUUACUUGAUAAAAUAUGCUCGAAAAUUCAGAUUUUACAUUCUAAAGAUAAUCCAUGAAUUUGAGCUAAACUUUAAUUACCGAAAUCAAGAUCUAUACAUGUCGACCAAUAAGAACUUAGGAGUAAAGCCGAUGUAACCCACCUAAAAAUGCAAAUCCUUGGCAGCGAAGGACUCCCACUGGUGUAGAGCAACUUGCUGGAUCAAACGCACAGCUCCGAGUCCAGAAAUCGUCCACGCUCGAGCUCCACACGACAAUAAAUCACCGUUUCAGUCCCGAAUUUCAGCAGUGAGGUACAACAGGGAUUCGACCAAGCUUACCUUCACCAAAUCCAGCAAGUUAGGGCUUCGUGGAUUCCUCUCGUAGUCCUGAAUCCAACGAGCCAAGUCUCGUCGCAAUCCGAUGCUCCUACGUCGAGAACGAGCCAAAAUACAAACAGUCGACGGUGAAAUUCUGCGAAAACAGCACUUAAGCUCUAAUUUGAUGAUACCCGGAUUAAUCGAAGCCACUCCAACAGACACUCACCUCGACAACACCGGGCACCGCUGCGACAGCAAAAACGGCGAAAUCCUCCUCUCGCCCGGCCUUCUCGCGCUGUAACGGCAGCAACCGUAUCCCCGGACGGCUCCGCGGCGCGACGUCGGCAACGAAAGCUCCAACCGAGAUCCUCCCUAGCCUAAGAUCUGUUGGAGAGUGAGAGAGAGGAAGUAGCAACAGAGGAACUCCCUCUCUCUGUCCUCAUAAGGCUAAAUAGAGAGAGAGAGGGCUGGUGAUACAAACGAGGGAGAGAAAAGACCAAAACACCCUCUCACCUACCCUGGUGUACCGGUACACGGGAUUGCGUACCGGUACAGGAAGCAACCCGAGAGCAGAUUGCGCGGCAUCAGUAUAGUGUACCGGUACGCCAUGAUGGCUGUACCGGUACAGCAAGCAGAAAAAUCUGCUAUUUUGCAGAUUUCUUCGCUAAAAGCCGCCCUCGCGUCGCACAGAGUCCGUUUUGCAUCAAUUUGACGCCAACGCGACUAGGACUUGUCCCGACACUCUCCAGAGCUGCCGACAAGCCUCCACAACUGAACACCAGGGAUCUCACACUUUGACUUUGUGGACCCUUCGUAGGUCUGGUCGAUGGCUUUGUACAUCUUAGGGACAAACGCGACAGAGAUACAUGUGGGUAUUUCGAUCCGAAGUCGGUCUAGUGGUGCACGCUCGCUGAUGUUCCCUCCACCUUCACUUUCUAUACUUCUUGCAUUACUUGUGAUUGUUAAGCCUGACACCAUACGACCCUAUUGCAUGUUGCUCUACUUAGUUAUUUUUAUAUUCACUUAUUGUGAUCCACAAGUAAAGCAAUUAUUUACUAUCCCAUGGAUUGUGACAUCCGUUGUGACCUAGUUGGUCAGUUAUGUGACUCUCGUUGUUUGAUGAUCUAUUUGGUCAGUAUAACUUGAGGGGUUUAAUUGUUGGCUACUUGCCGACAACUAUUGAUCAUAUUUGCAUCGAUCGUCAUUGCUCAUACGCAUUUCACGUACACCAGCGAUUUGGACACCGCAACGGUGUUCUUUUUCGAAAAUGUGGUCAGACUUCCGACCCGUGAACCCAGAAACUUAUGCUACCGCAAUGGUGUUCUUUCCGAAAAAUUGAUCGGACUUCCACCAUUACUCGUACGCUUUUUACGUACACCAGCGAUUUGGCCACCGUAACGGUGUUUUUUUUUUCGAAAAAGUGGUCAAACUUCCGACCUGUGAGCCCAAGAACUUAUACUAGGGUUAUAUGCUAUUUAGAGCGGCGUGACACUUGCCUGAGGUCUUUAGACCGACACGGCGGAUCUGGAUUGGUUAUUUUGAUGAAAAGGACUUGUAUAAAUGUUAACUUGGGAGAUGUAUCAUUUAUAUAAUGAUGUAUGAAAAAGAUGUUAGAAAAUUGCGUACGGUAAAACGCAGCGGAAAAAGAAAUCAAACAAAUUUGAUUUUGAAAAACUCUCGAGAUCUAAUCUCAAAAACCACGCAAUUAGGAUCCCUCAUGUUCUUUAAGAUUAAAGGAGAAAAGUAAGAUCGAAUCAUUACUUUUUUCGCGGAUAAAUUCUUGCCUCAAUUUGAUAAUCGUGGAAUCGGGUUCUCUUGAAGCCGCACACGCGUCCGGCCUCUAUAGGUAUCCACAUGAGGUUCUUGAUUUGAUCGAUGUCCUCACCGGGGUGCUAGCUCCCUUGCAAAAGGACGUCUUUCUUGCUAGAUGAUGGAAGAGAGAAGAGAGGAUAGAUGACGGCUUGGGUUUUCUAAAAACUCCCGUAUAUUAUAUAUAGGAAUAUAAUCCUAUUCCUAAUAAUAUAAUGACAAUUAAGGAUAAGUAUAAAUCUAGAUUUAAAUUUAUCUUUUCCUUAAUUGGUUAGAUCGAUCAAAUCCUAAUUUGAUUCGACUUGAAUUUUAUAUUAAUUUGAUCUUAUCAAAUUAAUAAUGCAACAUUUGCACAUAAGUCCUCUUAUAAUUUACUAACUAUUAGUAAGUCCUCUCUUGUAACAUUUACACUUUAAUACCACUAAUUUGUAACAAUUACAAAUUAGUCCAAUUAUCAACAUAUUGACAAUUAGGUCCUCCGGCGAUUCAAUAAUCGCGAUCUAGCUAUCCGAUCAAUCACAACCUCUUAUGUGUGUGACCCCAUAGGUUCUAUUCUAUCUGGUAGUGAGAUAUAUUUUGAUCACUAUCAACAAUAUCACUGAAACUCCUUUCAAUGGAUUAGAACAAUUCCAACUCAGCCCAAUGAGAAUUAUCGAUCAUCUAGAUAAUUCUCAUGAGUCUCACAAUCCACCAGUGACGCCUAGCAGCAUGUAGUGGCAUUCCAGUAGAAUGGAAUACUGAACCUCUUGGUGCAGUUACCGUGUGAUACAAUCCUUCUAUCAUGAGUCCCGACUAGACGGAGGUUAUGGAAUAACUCGUCAAACCCCAUCGUCUGUCAUAUGUUAAAUUUAUUCGACUCGAGUUUCUAAUAUCGGAAACCCUUUUCCGCUAUUUAUUCUGCCCUGGCCAAGGUCUUCUAAACUCGGUCUCAUAAAUCACAUAGGACUAACACCCCUAUCUACCAAGGGAGAUAGAUUCCAUCUAAGUGCGCACCCUAUUCCUACAAUGAACCUACUGCAGCCAACAUGCACCGCAAGGACCCGAAUGGCUAGGGACCAAGUGUAUGUACAGUCAAACUACAGUAACCUCAUUGUGAAUAGCCGAGGCACCGCAGGUCAAAGGACCAGUCACACUACUGCAACAAUUGAGUAAGUCACUGACGAGUGAGUAGACAUCCAAGUGACUUCUCGCGUUGGUCACGCUCGGUACCCUUGUUCUCUAACAACCACCUGCAUAUUCGCUUCAGUGUCCCCACACUGUCGACUCGAAACUCGUCUACCCUGAAAGGGAAGCGACUUAUGCACCAAUCUCAUUGGAUCAAUCACCGUCCCCGUGAUGAUCCAUUGAUCGGGAGCAUUUAGGAAUUAAUCACCAAUGACACAUGUCUCAAAUUCUCAACACUUGAGAAUAUAUGUCAUCAUCUUAUUAAUUCCUUGGACGAUUCAUGGACACAUACACAACAUGAAUGGAAAUAAAAACCCAAAGUUAUUCAUAAUAUUUUAAAAUCAAAUACAAAAUUAUGUCCUAGAAAGAAUACAUGUGUCGGCCUGGUUGGCUUCUAGGGCAUACAUCUAACAAAAGAUAGUUGUAUUUUGGUUAAAGUAAUCAAAGUUCAAUGUAUGGAUGUAAUAGUUAGAAUUUACUUUCACUUGCUUGGUUACUUGCUCUCGUGAAAGUCAUGUGUAUUGAUGUUUUUUCUAAGCAACUCAUAAUACAUGCUACUGUUGUUGUGGUUGAGCCUUGGGCGAACAGGGGAGAUUCUAUCCGUUCGGCGUCUGUGCGCGUACCCGAACCGACCAAAUUGGCUGUCACAGGGCAUGACAGUAAGUGAUUAGGCAAGAUACAUGUACAACUACCGCUACUGUUAGUAAAAUGCAACAAAAGAUGAACAUAAGGGGUACAACUAAUGCCACAGGAGUCCACUACCUAGGGCGCUAUGCCCUUGCCGCGACCCUCCACCACCCCGCUCGUGCUAGGAUCCGCAAAAAGAGUAGGGUGAGAACUACAAGAAGUUCCUAGUAGGUUCGGCCACCGACCCCACCGACUUUCCCACUAGAUCUAAUCAGGCAUAAGCAGAGAAAGAAAUAGAUAGAUAACCAAUUCUAAACUAAUGCAACUACUAUGUAUGUACAUGAAACGGAGCAAUACAUAUCAUGCAUGCAGUUUUCGUUUGCCUUUAUCUUGUCACGCCCCGGAUAUCACGUUCCUCGGGCACGCCGACAAAUCCGCCGUAUACAAAGAAAUUUUCCCUGUAUACGAAGGGUCAAAAGUACCUGUAGAUAUGCAAUACUACAAACAGUAGGAUAGAGCUGCUCAAUAAACAAAAGCUAAACCAACUGAGCUUCAUAUACAUAGUUCAGAAUCCAAAAUACAGCGUUACUCGCACUGGCGAGUUAAGUACUAUGUACAUAAGCUCGAAGUAAAACAAUUACCUGUGGUAGGGUGCCUCUAGCUCUGUCAGUCGGGUAGGGCUCUAGCUCACGACGCCCUUGCCUCGAUCCUGGUCCGCGGAUGGUGCAGCAACCGGAACCUGUGGCUCUGCAAAAACAUAGGUAACAACUGGGCGUGAGAACUACUGUAAAAACAAGUAGUCCUCAGUGGGUACCGCCCAAAACAACAUCGGUCCACCCACUAAGUCUACAGAAGGGAGCAAGAGUAGUCAGAAAAGCAGGAAAAUAACUCUACCGCUACCGAUCACUACACUAUCAUGCUCUACACUAACCAACUGUAGGAAAUGUCAAAUCUGACCCAAUCCAAUCGGGACUGUAAGCAUACCCGUCCCCGGGACUGUGAAUACACCCGUCCCUGCCCCGUUGCGACUAUCAGGCUCUAUCCACACUAACUGGUCCGUGGAGAGCAAGUCCAACUGGCAUGAGCGACACCAACGCGAAAGCACAAAGCCUGACUCCGGAGUGGCACUCGUGGGCGCUACCCAACCGAGUAUGCAGCGUAUCUCUGUCGAGCUCAAACAGGCUCCAAUUAGCCAACGUCAAGUGAACAGGGUCAAAACAGGUCUACAAACCAAACCCACGUGCCCUCGGCACAAUCUGUGACCAAAACAAGAAUCUGGGUCCACCGCUAACCCGAACGGCACCCCAACGACCCGAAACAGUCUAAACUCUGCUGAAAAAUAAGCUCGGCAUCUCAGCACGAGCGUAAAUGCCUUCUAAACUACCCCAGGUAUCCAUCGCAACGAUACUGCAACGAUACAAUCGAAUCACGGCUCCUAGAGCUAAAUCUGGUAGUUUAAGCAUAUGACGAUUCCAAUCGUGUGUUUUCCUAAGUCAAUUCCCAGUCCAACAUGUACAUUUAAGAUUUACUAGUCAUGUUCUCAAUACUGAUUAUAUCCAGGAUAGCAUCACGAAUAUCAAGCUACAACAUGAUUACCGAAACUAAAAAUCAUACAUGUUGACGAUUACGGUACUUAGGAAUAAACCGAUGUAAACCCACCUAGAAAGCUAUCCCCUGGCAGCGGUACACUCUCACAGCUGUGGCGCCACCUGCUGGGUCGAUCGUAGCCCUUCGAACCCAAGAAUCGCGCUAACUCCAAGCUCUACACCAAACAAUUCACCGUUUCAGUCUAGUUUUCGCAGCAGUGGAGUACAACAAGGAUUUGACCAAGCUAACCUUCACCAAAAUUCACAAGUAAGGGCGUCUUGGAUUCCUCUCAAAGUCUCGAAUCCAACGAACCAAGUCUUGACGCAAUCCGAUGCUCCUACGUCGAGAACAAGCUGAAAUACUAACAGUCGACGGUGGAUUUCAGCAAACAACAACUAUCCGAGUAGAAGUAGUAAACACUUGCCCAUAAAUCAAGAAAAACUGAAAUACCCACCUCGACAACGCCGAGCACCAGAGUGACAGCGAGAACGGUGAAAAUCCCUGCUCGCCCGACCUCCACGCGCUACCCCGGCGUCAAACACAAGCUCGAACGGCCUCGCGGCGCGACGUCGGCGACAAAACUCCAACCGAGCUCCUCCGUAGCCUAAGAUCGGUUUGGGAGUCAGAGAGAGAGAAAGUAAUAGCAGAGGAACUCCCUCUCUCUGUCCUCACAAGGCUAAAUAGAGAGAGGGAGGGCUGGUGAUACAAACGAGGGAGAGAAAAGACCAAAACACCCUCUCACCUACCCUGGUGUACCGGUACACGGGAUCGCGUACCGGUACAGGAAGCCAACCCGUGAGCAGUCGCGCUCAGCCAAUGUAGUGUACCGGUACACCUCGCUGGCUGUACCGGUACAGCAAGCAGAAAAAUCUGCUAUUUUGCAGAUUUCUUCGCUGAAAGCUGCCCUCGCGUCGCACAGAGUCCGUUUUGCGUCUAUUUGACGCCAACGCGACUCGGACUUGUCCCGACACUCUCCAGAGCUGUCGGCAAGCCUCCACAACUGAACACAAGGGAUCUCACAUAUCUUUACCCAAUCCUUUUGGCUAACCCUUUUUGGUUAACCUCAACUCACCAAACCAAAUCCCUUUUAUCGGAAAGAAUACCGUUCCAACACAACGGGACUGUCUGCUGGGGAGAAUUCCGCUACCGCCCAGUUAGUGACAACUCCGGAGUUCACCGCUUGAUGUGGAGCGACCACCCUGAAGCAUAUCAGACUAUCUGUGAGUAUGAUCUAAUCCUCAACCUUGAGGAUACUAACGUUCAUGAUGUUCUAUUUUCUAGCAUUCCAUGUUUCUAGGUGCUAUUCAAUACAUCUAGUUAUAAUGUCGUCAUGUUUACUAUAUUGUCAUCGUCCAUACCUUGAUUCAUACAUUCAUAGGGUUUCAUAUGCCCAAAGUUCUAUUCAUAAUUCAUAUAUAUUCUAAUAUAAGAAAUUCCACGUGUCAACUAUAUAUGAACAUUAACCCUAAAAUGCAUAAUUAUAUACUUAUACAUACAUGUUCAAUGACGACAUAGACAUAACGAGAAAUUUAAUGGUUUCGGAUAGCACUAUCCACCUUGUAGGGAUGCGGAGAUACGAGAAUCUAAGUCCCGCAAUUUAUCUUCACCUAUUUCCCUCGACCCAAUUUAAUAUUUAAAUAUUUAUUUAAAUUUUAAAUUUUAAAAUUUUAAAAUUUAAUAAUUUAAAAUUGUUAAAUUAAUAUUUUUUAAAAAAAAUUAAAUUUUAAAUUUAAAUUAUAAAAUUUAAAUUUAAAUUUAAAUUUUUAAUUUUUAAUUUUUAAUUUUUAAUUUUAAUUUUUAAUUAUUUAAAUUUUAAAUUUGAUAUUUUUUAUUAGGUUAAUUGCAUACACGUCCCUGCAAACAUGAUGAAUUACAGAUAUAUUCCUACAAAGCUUAACUUUCGUAAGUUGUUCCUUCAAAAGUCCUAAUGUAUUCAGAUAUGUCCCUCUGGUUAGGAUCUGUUAAAGAACUGUUAAUUUUUUAACAGUAUGCUCGUGAAAUGAUAAUUUUGUCCUCACAAAUAUGUCCCUCUAAAACCACAUUUGCAGAAAUGUCCUCUCAAUUUUUACCCUUUUCCUCUUUCUCUUCCUCUUCGGGCAGUGGGAGCGGACGGCGACGGCGGCAGAUCAUCGACGACGACGACAAAGAAGAAGAAGGAGGAGAAGAGGAGGAUACGAAGAAGAAGAAGAAGGAGACGGCGGAGGCCGUUGUCGGCCGGUGGCGUCACCAGGGAUAGCCAGCGGGAGCACCGCCCGAUCUCCCAUAAGGAGGAGGUCGGCAUCGGCGGCGAGCUGCUUGAGGGCGUCGGAGGCAGCAACGAGGUCGCUCUGCGUGCGGAGCUUCCCCGCGGGGGGGAUCGGUGUCACGCCCCGGGGUCCUUUUUUUUUUGUUUGGAAAAACAGCGGAAACGACUAAUUUUUUUUUUUUUAAACACCUGACCCCAGAGUAUGUCAGAUCCUCCACAAAUACAGGGAAUCCACUGUUCACACGGACAGAGUCUCCCCUGUAUUUGCACGGCGUCGCACAAGUACAAUUAUACAACCAGAGUACAACCAGAAUACAACCACAACCAUAUGAACAUACUCAGGCCGGAGCGUUGGUGAGCCCGAAAGGCAUCACCGUGAACUCGUAGUGGCCGUAACGAGUCCGGAAGGCGGUCUUCGGCACAUCCUCAGCCCGGAUCUUAAGCUGAUGGUACCCGGACUGCAGGUCAAUCUUGGAGUACACCGACGAUCCUUGCAGCUGGUCGAAAAGAUCGUCAAUCCUUGGCAGGGGAUACUUGUUCUUCACCGUGACCUUGUUGAGCUCCCGAUAGUCGAUGCACAGACGAAGACUACCAUCCUUCUUCUUGACGAAGAGGACAGGGGCACCCCAGGGAGACACACUAGGUCUGAUGAACCCUCUGUUAAGCAGAUCCUCAAGCUGCGCCUUCAGCUCCUUCAGCUCAGCGAAGGUCAUACGAUAGGGGGCCUUCGAGAUCGGUGCAGUGCCCGGAACAAGCUCGAUGAAGAAUUCGAUCUCCCGGUCCGGAGGCAUUCCUGGAAGCUCGGCUGGAAAAACGUCCGGGAAUUCCCGAACUACAGGAAUCUCCUCCAAAGAUGGUGCAGCUCGGCGAGAUACGUCUACCGAAGCCAGGUAAGCCACACACCCGGCAUUCAACAACCUUUUUGCCCUCGCAGAAGAGAUAGUCGCAGCGAAAAAAGAGCUCUUACAUGCUCGGUAGACGAAUACUUCACCACCAGGCUCGACAAGAAUCACCAUCCUCCGCUCGCAGUCGAUAGUAGCGUGAUGCCUGGUGAACCAGUCCAUCCCAAGCACCAGGUCGAAUUUCUUCAUCGGGAUAACCACCAGAUCAGCUAGAAAAGACCGAUCAUCCAAGAAGACGGGGUACGACGAGAUACAGCUGACAGCAGUAAGAUCACCUCCAGGUGUCUCGAUCCGAAGUGAUACAUCGAGUGGUUACGAGGAAAGACCAUGCUCACAUGCAAAUGAAUGUGAAAUAAAAGAGUGCGAUGCUCCAGUAUCGAAAAUGGCUCUAGCACGAGUAAGGCUGAGGGUGACAAUACCUGCAAGGACGUCGCCACCAGUGCCCUCGUGCUGAGUCAGGGCGAAGACUCUCCUACCAGAUGCCUGGCGCGUCCCCUCAGAUUGCCGAGGUAAGGGGGGACGCCCAGACGAAGCAGCUGCACUCGGGGCUCCGCGGCUCUAUCGGGGUGCAGCCUGGGAGGAGACAGCACUCAAAGAAGUCCCGCCAUCUCUAGGACACUGAGCUCGCAGGUGGCCCAGCUGGCCACAACGGAAACAGUGGUCCCUCCGCUGCGGACAUUCGACCACCCGAUGAGCCUGGCCGCAGAUCACACAGGGUCGAUCGCCCCUCUGCUGGUUGCCGGAGGGCGCACUCUUUGUCGCCUGCUGAGUGCGCAGAUGCUUUGGCGGUUUCUUGCUGAAAGAAGAAGAACCACCACCAGACUUGGCGCGAGAACGCUUCUUAUCGCCUGAUCGCUCGGAUGCAUCGCGAUCAGCUCGAACCUCCUCUGACUUACUCUGCACAAUCAGGGCCCGAUCCAGACACUCAUCGAAGGUCAUCUGUAACGCACUGGACCUUUGCAAUUUGCGAGGUUCGAGUGUAUGGCUUGUGUUAUGAGUUUUUCCAGAUUUUCUGGUGGGUCGUAGACAGUGUUCAGACCUAUGGCUCGUAUCCCGAGAAUUGUGGUAUUUCAAGUAGCACUAAGCUCGCCAAAGUGGAGGACUUAGGCUGCUCUCGGUUUGGAAAUUUCGGGGUGGCGUACCGGUACGCGGUGAUGGCUGUACCGGUACAGCCAUCGACCCUGGCAGUCAGAGCGCCAACCCGAGGCUCGGGUUGGGCUGGUUCGUGGGAUGUGUACCGGUACACAAACCCGUGUACCGGUACGCAGUGCAGUAUGGGCUGUUUCGGGGAGGGGUGUAUUUGCAACUGUUACAACACCUAUAUAGGUGACCCCAGCCCCCUUAGCUGCCCUCUUUGAGCCAUAACCAGUGGAGAUCAAGGUGAGUCUCCCCUUCCCUUGUUUGAUCUCCAUUUUUGGUGGAUUUUAUGGUGUUUUGAUCUCUCCCUUCUCCUCUUCUUUGCUUUUGUUGGGUUUUCUCCAUGGUUGAAGACUUGGAGCUUUGAGAGGAGCUUGUUUGUGAGGAGACCUCCAACCCUAGCUGAUUUUGGACUUGGUUUGAGGCUAUUUAGGAGGUUAGUAACAUGUAUUUUUCGUUUGAUACAUGUUUUGUUGGUUUUGGUUAGAGGGAACCCUAGAUUUUGAAUUUUAGGGUUAGAAAUCGGGAUUUUCGAGUUGAGGCUUUUUGAUCUUGAUUGAUCUUAUUAGAACCAUCUUUUAGGUUGGUUUUGAAGGAUUCUUGCCUCCUUUUGGGGAUCAAGAGAGAUAUUCACCAUUUUCGGUGAGUUUUUCCCACCUUAGCUUGAAAAGCUUAAUGUUUGAGCUAUGUGUUGUUUGUAUGGUUCUUGUGACACUUGUUUCCAUACCUUUAGGGUACUAGGAGAGUGGUGGACACCCUCAUCGGAACAAUCGAAGGGUCCCGUCGUCGUCGGUGGGUUUGACCUAGCCACAUAAUGAGAAAAUCUCAUUGUUGAUGAUUUAAGUAUUGUAAAAUGAAAAAGCAUGCAUAUUCAUGUUAGAUGCAUUAUUUGUGAAUUUUAGAAUGCUUAAAAUGCACAUGUUAUAUACAAUGCAUAUUUGACCUCUAUAUAGUAGAGAGUUUUCAUGUUGGGCUAGGGGCCUACGGUUAGCAUUCUUACAAUUGAUUGAGAUCAUGUUGCAUAUGGUACAUAUGGCAUAUAGAUUACACUCUUGGACUUAGAACGCAUGAUUGACGUGGUUGGACAUAUCGACAUUAAGUGACAUAGGCUAGAGUGUAUACAAAUAGUAAGCUAAUGUCAUAAAGCGGCAUUAGGCUUGGACUAGAUAUGGGUUUAGCAAGCUAAUGUCAUAAAGCGGCAUUAGACUUGAUGGAUAUGCAAAUUGCAUGUGCAUGUUAUUAUUAUGAGAAUUAUGCCAAGUUAAUAGUCGCAUUGGGAAGAACUUACAUGUAGCAAUAUGAGAACACGCUAGAGAGCAUGUGUAUUAAUCUAUUAUUGAUAGAACAAGCUAGCGUCAUAAAGAGACAUAGAAUGUGAAUUGAGCUUAGAUUAUAGCAAUGUUUAAGUGUCAUAAAGAGGCACUAAACAUAGUGAAUGUGGGAACUUCACCUUGAGCUUUGGACUUAGUAAAGCUAAGGUCAUUGACAUAGAAUUUUUAUUGAACGGUUAAACCUUCACAUCGAGACAUUGAACUAGAUCUUCGAGAUGCUAGUGACUUUUACCAUGUUAGAGACAUGAUGACUGUUGGGUGGCUAUUACCAUGUUGGAGACAUGACGAUUGGACUAUUGAGGUAUUUGACCAUGCUUGCUUGCCAUUUGUGCUCAUUCGCACAUGCUUGUGAGGGUCGCUCCCUACAAGCCAGCACUCCGGAGUUAGCCUACGCGACUUAUGUUCGCUCGUGCGGUAUCGAGUAGCCUACGGGGCCUGGAGGGAUAGACUCAUUCCUAGAGUGGAAAUGCUGGAGCUACCACUGGCACUUAGGCGGCACAAGCCGGACUACACCUGUGUAGAUCCUGAUUGAGAUUGAACCAGAAUAUUAAGCAAUAAGUGGACAUUCGCUACUAGCUAGGUUAUAGUAGUUGGACUCUUGAUAUGCUAUGGUAUAGUGUUGGACAUUUGGGCUUAGAGUAUGCUUGACAGUAUCCCUUAUUACAUUGUUGUAUUCUUGGUUGCUAUGAUAGUACAUACUAGAUAUAUAGUGGGCUCUAGAAUAUAUAUCACACUUUAUAGCAUUACUUGUUGCAUCAUGAUACAUUGUUUAAGUUUUGGGCAUAUUGGAUCAUGUAGAGUAGAUGUACUCCAUGUUGACAUUCAGAAUACUUGUGGCAUAGUAGAGUAGCACUUUAAUUUCAUGCUUUAAUUACUGUUGAUAUUUCCUGUUAUCUAUACCCGCUUGUUUUGGGCCUUGUGGUGCAAUUUGGUGCAGGUCAGUAAUUGCCCACUGGGAACUAUAAUUUAUAGUUCUCACGCCCCCUGUUUUAUGUUUUCUUUCAGAGCCUUCCACUCCGGGAGAGGCUCGGGAUCGCGGGAAAGGUUUCGCCUCGAGUUAGCUAUCGAGGGACUUGGUGAUAGGUGGCCCACCUCUCUUUUGUUUUCUUUUAGAGAGGUUGUGAGAGUUUGUACCUGGUUAUAGAGACCACCCUAUUUUUGUAUCUUCUGAUUUAUGUUGUAUCAGUUUACCUUAUGCUUUAGUAGUAUGAUUUUCUUUUGAUUCUACCUGAUGUUAGAACCUAGCUAUAUACUUGCUCUGAUAUCUCUAGUUAUAGAUCUUCUGAUGCUUUACUCUUCCGCUUUUGUGUAGACGCCUUAUAUGUGUAGACAUAUGGCGGGUCUGGGCGCACACCGGGCGGGCCUAUGCCGGGUCCCGAGGCGUGACAUCAUCACACCAUUGAACGCGACCAACAGUCGAAAGUUAGGCCUCAAUCCCCUCAUGGAACCCCUGGCCUUAUGGUACUCAUCUCGCACGGCGAAGGGAAUCAGCCCGACGAUACGGCUGAAGUCCCGCUCGUAUUCCGCUACUGUACGGUUGCCCUGCUUGAGACGCUCCAGCUCGCGCUCCAAGCUCUGCUUUGUACUAUCCUUGAAGAACUGCUCAUAGAGGAGUCUCCGAAACUCCUCCCAGGGUGGAUAGAUACUUUCCAGUUUCUUCUCAAAAUGGUGAAUCCACCAUGCAUAAGCAUCACUCUCUAGGAAAUGGGUGGCCAAAGGAACUCGAUCCUGCUCAUCAAUAUGGAGAUCACGGAAUAACUUCUCCAUGUGGGUGGCCCAGUGCUCGAUCACCCAUGCAUCAUCACUCUUCCCAGCGAACUUAGGCGGGUCGAACUUCCUGAACUGGGCCAACUUCGCCCGAAUGCGGGCGCCCUCAGCUGCAUGGGUAUCAGUACCCCCAGAAGGAAGUGUCGUGGCGGCAGCCGUCGUCACCGUAACCGUCGGAGCGGUAGCCGGUGCAGGCGUCACCGGAGGGUCCGCAGUCGUCGGGGCAGGCUGCGUCGGAGGUGGGGCCGGGGGAGCUGAAGCUGCGGUCUGCUACUGCAAGAACUGAUGGAACAUCCCGGAGAGGGCCGUAAGCUGACCCCUCAUCGCUGCUACCUCGGCCUCGAGCUGCUGGGUACGCGCAUGCCCCAGCGGCUCAGGGCCGACCUGCUCCCCGCCACCUCCUCGGCCUCUCCCUGCUGGACUGCGCGACGUCCCUGAACUGGCGCGUCCACUGCCACGCGGUCUACCAUGAGCCAUCUGCAACAGAAAACACCGUCAGUCGAAUAAUCGACUCGACCAACUCCCACCGGGACUCGAGCCCAAACCCCGCACUCAAAGUUGCUAUACACCGUAGGUCCUCCUAAGGUCACCUAACCAAUGGUUCAGUUUCCAUUGAAUUGUUUUUUUCGGAAAACAACCUGUGAGGUGUGUGGUUGUAUUAGAUCUGGCUCUGAUACCACUUAAUCUGUCACCCGGACCGGGUCUUUUUUUUUGUUGGAAAACAGCGGAAAACGACUAAUUCGUUUUUUUUGAACACUAUCUGGACCGCCAGAGUAUGUCAGAUCCACCCAAAUACAGCGGGAAUCCACUGUUCACACGGAACCAGAGUCUCCCCUGUAUUUGCACGGCACGUCCGCACAAGUCAUUAAUAGAACCAGAGUACAACCAGAAUAAACCACAACCAUAUGCAACAUCAACCGUCAAUUCGCAACAUACAGACGUCCAUACAAUUCACCUUCACAACACGACCGGAAUUCAUAAGUUUAAACAUAGAUCCAAAAUCUAUAUUAUAAAACUGUUUCACUACCCGAAACAGUUUUUGAAUACUUAAGUCUCAGAAAUCCUUGGAAGCUCCCUUUUAAGACUGUUCCCCACCGGAACCUGUUAUCUUUAAAAAAUACACAGGGGUAGAAUCAUUGAAAACUGUAUCUGAAUAUGAAAAACCCUUUUCUUUUUAAAACAAGUGCUUACACGAGGGCUUAGAAGACAUUUUACUUAAAAGCCCAUUAAAAUCUCUUUUAUCACAAUACAUAGAGCGCGAAAAACAAUUAUCGUCAGUCGAAUGAAACUGAGACCCAUGAUACAGAAGUUUACUAUUUAUUCAAGCAAGGAAAAGAGUAACAAAACGGGACGGAGCUCUAACGCCGCUUAGACUCGCUCUCACCUGUCCGUCCCUCGGACCUGCGACGUGCACUGUAAUGGGGCGGGGGUGAGAAACAUGCUAAACAUUGUCCCCCUCCCCAGUGGGUACCGCAAGCCGACGAGGGCGAGGGUACCAACCAGCAAAGGAGGGCUAAACAACAGUAAGGGGUAAAAACUACAGUAGCUACUAUUAUUAAGAACAGGAAAGUACACAGUAACGGAACUAAUGUACAGUAAUGAACUAUGCUAUUGGUAUGUAUGCAUCAACGCUGUGGAUAGUCAAGAUACCGAUACGAAUCUAAACCUGCCUUGUUUGGUCCGGAGCCUCAGGCUAAUGCCACAAGCACUCAACCUGCAUAUACCCAGUCGUAACCGUCUGAGCUCCAGGGUGGCUAAAGCCAACCACUUUUUCCGAAAAGAACACCUCCCUCGGUGGAUCAGACCGCUGGUGUCGUGAAAUGCGAAUGCAGUGGUGACAUCGAUGCUGUAUGCUCAUAAGCCAACGUCAGCAUACAGGCCGACAAUCACUAUGGCCUCUGGGCAUUACCGACCGCUAUAGGUAUCAAGACAAUCGGAACGACCGCAGAUAGUCAUAUGUAACGUAAGAGUAACGAACGACCCAAACAGGUCACCGAUGCAACAAGGGAACCGACCAAUCAGUCACAUGUAUAGUACUUACUAAUGCCAUCUUCUCUACCCCUACACACGAAUCUACGCCAGCCGAACCGCGGCCAACAGAUAAAUAAAGAACAGUAUGUGCAAAGGCUCCAAAAUAUAAAGAGUAAGUCAAUAUGACUAUGACGACUGUAAAAGAUUAGGGUUAGAGAAGACAUCACGAGCGUGCACCACUGUACCGACUUCUGAUCGAAGUACCACCUUUGUAUGAAACUGAAACGGUCUUCGCGAAAGUGGAGACGAAGAGACUCCGGACUACUGAAGGGUCCACCGGGUUAGAGUCUAACCCACAAACACAAAUAACACGACCAUGUCUCACACAAAUCCAAAAUUCAUACCCCUCGGAAAUCGGUUCUCAAACUGCACUCCGAACCAGCCGAAGUUCCGGCAAACCGUAACCGGAACUCCACCGUCGCUCACCGUCGUUUCUGAACCCUCGAGACGACAUGGGUGACCAGGCCACAAGGCUCAGCCGACGAACAAUCAACACGAGGCCCGAUCGGAUGAAUUCCGAGUCGAACACGACGUUGGCCAGCGCCGGGGAGGGGGGGUUCUUCGGCGAUCGCCAAAAAGCUCCGGAAUGACAGUUAGGUUCGCUCACGGGCUUGGGGCCUGACGUCAGGUCAGAGGUUAUCUUUAAGCCUUAACUGCUGCCACAGUAGCCAGCGACGAAGCGAAACGCAAAAGGAUCCCUUAAUGGCCUGAAAUCACAUGUAUUUUAUGUGAUUUCAUGGCUCUAACGAGUCGUACCAGCAAACCGGGCGAUCUACGGAGAUUGCCAUCGCUACUUGCUGCAACGGUUUCAGCACGGCCUGAGGCGUGCUCACCCUUUCGGAGCACGCUGCCGCAGCAAACCACCGCGCGCAACGAGGACGCGAACCUCAGCGAAACAGUGCGCACACUGUCGAAAACAGCCUUUUCUUACUAACCAGCGGCGUCAUUGGCUAACAUGGAGGUGAGCGUCGUGCUCUCAGACUGAGCCACGAUCCCGUGUCCCUUCCCGAGGUGCCAGGGGGUAAUCAAUCGAAUCACCGAAAGGUGGCCGUAACGCAAAACAGCAGUGCUGGAACCAAAUAAAACUACUCACCGGAGCUGUUGGGAGCUAGGGAUGCUCGCCGACGAUCUGACCGCGGGCACUCCGGCGGUGAUGCGGAGCAAGCAGGUUCGGGGAGGUCCGGGGGAGUGCUGGCCGCGGCAGGCAGGCAGCCGGUUUGGCGCGGCGGCUGGAACGAUCGGGCCGCACACUUCCCUCUCCGGGUUGGAGCUUGCGCGGCGAGCGCGUGCCGGGUUUUGAGGCUCGACGGCGGCGGAUGACCGGUGCGGAGACCGAGAGGAGUGGCUGCUCGGGCUAACAGGCCUCUCUCCAAGCCACAAGGCUUAACGCGGUGGUGAGGUGCGUCCAGGAGAGGAGGAAGUUGGCUACAGGCUGUUUUCGGCGGCCGGGGCUGCUCGGCGGCGGCCGGAACGUGAGCACGGGCAGGGCAGGGAGGUGCUGGGGUGACAGGGGCGGCUGGGGUCAGCUGGGGGGGGUUCUAGGGUUAGGGUUAGCUCAAGAAACCCUAGGUCAACCUAUAUAUAGGUGCUGCGACUUUGCGGAAAACCCCCUUCAAGGCUGAACGGUUUAAACCCAGCUCCCUGCUAGCGAGUGCUUUAUACACAACAGUCCCUCCGAGUUCGAAAACUCGCAAAUCGACGCAUAAAUUAUCCGGUCAUUUCGCGAAUAAUCCGAUUACUCAAAUCAGCCCCUUCGCGGACUUUUCGCGAUUCCCGGAGAUCCGUCCGUCGGAUUUCCGAUCGGAUCGCACCAGCGCGAUCAGCACGACAGAGGCAUCGGAUCUAGCAUUUCAUUUCGCCCGAAAAGGUUUCCGAUUUGCGACAAAACCAUCCCUCCAAGGUUCCACCAAAACCCACAUAUAGACGACUAUAUGCAAAAACCAUUAAACCCCUUUUUCUCAAAAUCCGUGCAUCCAAAUCCAAUUCCGUCAGUGCCAUUGGGUCCAAGAUAGUCGAGCGGUUGAAAAUGAGCUAUUGGAAGGCUAUAUUUGGAGUCCGAUACGCGUCGAAAGUCCACUCUACUCCGCGGCCUCUCCGAAAAAUCGGAGUUACUAUUCACUUAAGUCAAACUUCCGGGUCGCGUAACUUCUCCGUUUUAACUCGUUUUCUCCUGAAAUUUGACGAGUACACUUAUAAUUAUAUUACACACAAGAACAUCGUCAAACAAAAGGGUUUAAUCAAUAAAUCAAAAAUCUCAGUUAUUACAAUCGGGGGAGCGACACUACUCCGCGAUGGCCAAGGCUAGCGCUAGGGUUUCUCGAAGGGACCGGAGGAGCUCGGAGGCGAGGGGGUUCGUGGCGAGGUUAUAGAGGUCGCCGACGGCGAAGGAGAGACGGGAGGCGGCUGCGGCGACGCCACACCACCGACCACGAAAGCAUCGCGUGGUGUCGGCGGUGGAAAAUAUGGCGGAGAGGAGGAGGCGAAGGUCAGCGUCGGCGUCUUCCUCCGCGACCGCGGCUCCUCCUUCUCUAUCGCGAUCGCCCGCUGUAUCUCCUCCCUCGCUGGCGACGAUGAAGAGGGAAAAGGAAUAGGGAAAGGAAGAAGAAGGGGGUAAAAUUAUCAAUUCACCUUAUUAAUUAACCAUGGUUAAGUAUUUUAACUGUGGUUAACGAAAUUUCUCUAACGGAAACUAACGGUAUGGACACAUCUGAAUACAUUAGGACUUUUGUAGGGAUAACUUAUGAAAGUUGAGUUUUGCAGGGAUAUAUCUGCAAUUCACCAUUUUUGCAAGGACGUCUGUGCAAUUAACCGUUUUAUAUUUGUAACUUAAGAUUUGAUUUAAAAUUUAAAAUUUAAAAGUUACAAAUUUAAAUUUUUAAAUUUGAGAUUUAAAAUAUAGAUUUUAAUUUUAAAUUUUAAAUUUUAAAUUUUAAAUUUUAAAUUUUUAUUUUUAAUUAUCUAAAUAUUAAAUGUGACAUUUUAUAUUUGUAAUUUUAUAUUUGUUAGAUUUGAUUUAAAAUCUAAAAUUAAAAUUUAUAACUUUAAAUUGUUAUAUUUGAAAUUUAAAAAUAUAGAUUUUAAUUUUGAAUUUUUUAAUUGUAAAAUUUAUCUAUUUAAAUUUAAAAUUUUAAAUAUAAAAUAAUAAAUUCAAAUUCAAAUAUAAUAAUUAGAGCAAUAUCAUUAUUUUUUAUUUAUAACUACCACGUUUCUUCUUAUUCCAUCUUAUCUAUCAAACGUUACUUUUCUUAAUCUGGGAAACAACUCAAUUAUUAUCCAAACGCAAAAUUAGUCUAUUCCAGGCUUAACCCUGAACUUAACCAUAUCCCUGGAAUAACUAGUUCUUACUUAACCUCGAAUCAAACGAACCCUUAGGGUUGAGUGGUCUCCCUAAGGUUGGGUGGUCCUUACUAGAUUAUAAUAUCUAAUGCAAUGAUUAGAAAUGAUGAAACUAAUUGAUCAAAAAGCUAAAACCUCGGUAGCAAAAAGUGUCUUUUACUAUCAACAGUAUUCUAGCCUACUAUAUAUAUAUAUAUAUAUAUAUAGAGAGAGAGAGAGAGAGAGAGUUAGGCUGGAAUACUCUUGUAACGCACUGAACCUUUGCAAAUUGCAAGGUUCGAGUGAUUGAUUGUGUUCUGAGCUUUUUCAGACUUUCUGGUGGGUCGUUGACAGUGUUCCGACCUAUGGUUCGAGUCCCGAGAAUUGUGGUUUAAAGCUGUCAUGCCCCGGGACCGGCAGAGGCCCUCCCGGUAGCGUGCCCAGACCCGCCAUAUGUCUACACAUAUAAGGCGUCUACAGUAAAAGCGGAAGUAAAGCAAGAAAUAGAACAAAUACAAAGAAGUAGAAUAACUAGCAACUAAUGAUAUCAGAGCAAGUAAAGUUUUAUCAUCUACACCAAGGUAAUGAAACAAGGCUAAGAUCCAAAUAUAUCCAUAAAGUAGUACAAAUCUAACUCCCAAAAAGAAAUACAAAGAUCUAAAAGGAGGUGGUCUCUAUACAUAAACGGGUACAACGCUCAACCUCUCACAAAAUAAAACCACGAGAGGUAGACCACCUAUCGAAUCGCCCUCGAAGGAAGCUAGCUCGAAGCAACUCCCUUCCCGCGGUCCCUAGCCUCUCCCGGCGCGGAAGGCUCUGAAAGAAAACACAAAACAGAGAGCGUGAGAACUAUAAUUUAUAGUUCCCAGUGGGCAAUUACUGACCUCAGCUCAAUGCACCACUAGGCCCCAAAAGAAAAGGGUAAGUACUAUAAGCAAUAAUAAGAGUAAUAGCAACAACAGUACGAAAGCAUAAUUGAAGUGCUAAACCACUAUAUCUCAAGUAAACAUGAUAAACAAGUAAUCCUCACAAUGCAAUAUGUUAAUGCAUAAAGAGUAAGCUCUAACCAAGCAACCGAGUAUACUACAAUGCAACAAUGAAACCGGCAAGUAUGCUGUAUGUACCAAUGCUAUAUCAUGAGCAUGUCAAAGUAAUCCAACCACUAAACCUAACUAGUAAGUCUUGUGCCCCUUUGUGACACUUCGACAUUUUAAUGAGCAAGUAUAUCCAACUCUUUCAAUGGCACUAUCCACUAGUUUUACACAUGACCCGAGUUCAAUGCCCCUUCAUGACAUUAGCCCAAUUAUUCACGAAUAACACAAGUUCCCGAGCCUCUUUUUGGCUUACCAAGAACCUUUAAGUUCCAUAUUGGACUAACCUUAAAUGCAUGCAAAAGGUACUCAUCUUCACAAUAGAAGUUACGAUUCCAAGUCUAAAAAGGAUGCCAAAUAUAUGCGAGUACCACAUGCUAGUUCUCUACUAUAUAGAGGUCCGAAAUUUUCUUACACAUAACAUAGGCAUAUGAAGCAUCCUAAAAUUCACAAUAAAUAUAUCUAACAUGAUUAUGCAUGCUUUUUCAAUUUACGAAACAUAUUUCACCAUAUAUGAGUAUUUCUCAUAUAAAGGCUAGGUCAAACCCACCGAACCGUCGCGUAGGGCUUCGAUUUGCCGAACAAAGUUGCUCCCGAGUCUCAAAAUGCCCUAGAAGUGAUCAGCGAAGAGAUACGAGAGCAUUACGACCAACCAAGAGAUCAAACAUUAACCUAGGAGCAAAAAGGGCCAAAGCUCACCUCAAGAGUAAAAAUCCUCUCUUAAGCUCCGAAUGAGGGCUAGGAUCCUUCAAAUCCAAGCCUUAGGAAGGUUCUAAUCCAAUUAAUUUAGCCUCAAAAGCCCUAGAUCAAAAAGCCCCAAAAAUCAACCCUAAUAUCCAAUCUAGGGUUCCAACUCACAAACUUAGCAAAACAUGGAUUAAAAGCUCAAAUCAUGUUGCUAACCUCUCAAGAAGACUCCAAACAAGCUCCAAAUCUUCUAGGGUUGAAGAUUGGUCCACCACCAAGCUCCACAAGCAAGCUCCAAGCCUUGCAAGAGUGGAAAGGAGAGAAAGGGGUUGAGCUCCAAGCUCCCUCAAACAAGCUCCUCUUCUUCUUCUCCUUCUUCUUCUUCUUCUCCUUCUUCUUCUUCUCUCUCUAGAAGGUGUAGGGUGGUGAGAAAUGAGGAGGGAAGAGAGUGAAAUGGCUAAUAAGCCCAUCUAGUGUAACAAAAUCCCAAGAGGCCCCUCAAAAACCCAAUAUUACAUCAGCCCGAACUGGGCAGUUUUCGCCCAGAGGGACCGGUCUCUCCCCAGCAGGGACCGGUCUCUCGCUGCGAACCCGAAAAACCAUCGUUCGGGAACCGGUCUCUCCCUGUGCAGGACCGGUCUCUCUCUGCGAAGGCGCGCUCGGGGACCGGUCCCGCCCGCCAGGGACCGGUUGCCUCAGGGCUACCGUAACACUGCUCAUUGGAGGACCGGUCUCUCCUUCCAGGGACCGGUCCCCGUGAGUGAAAACUCUCAGGACCAAACCAAAACUCAGGUUUUCGAACUUUUUAGGUCGGAAAACAUUCUACAACCCUCCACCAAGUGUGGAAAAGCUCGAAAUACACCCAAACACUCGAACCUCGCAAUUUGCAAAGGUCCAGUGUGUUACAUUCACCCCUCCUAGAAAGAGUUUCGUCCGCGAAACUCAAAAGGACAAAGUACCUCAAGCCUCCAUCUGAAAAAGAUAGGAAUAGCGCUCUCGCAGUGCGCUCUCUAACUCCCAAGUGGCCUCGCGCUCGUCGUGGUUGCUCCAAAGCACCGUCACGUAAGGAAUUUCUCGGUUCCGCAAUCUUUUCACCUCGCGAGCCAAAAUUCUCGAGGGUUGCUCCUCAAAGCUCAAAUCCUCCCGCAGCUCCAUAGGCGUAGCAUCCAACACAUGAGCCGGGUCGUGGAUGUACUUCCGAAGGACCGAUACAUGGAACACAUUGUGUACACCCGAUAGGUUUGGCGGUAGAGCGAGUCGAUAUGCCACCGGGCCUACACGUGCCAAAACCUCAAACGGUCCAAUGAAUCGGGGGCUCAACUUGCCCCGGAUUCCAAAUCUUCGAAUACCUUUGGUCGGCGAGACUUUCAAGAACACAUGGUCUCCAAUCUGAAACUCCAAGUCUCGUCGACGCCGAUCAGCAUAACUCCUCUGCCUACUCUGGGNAAUACAAGUAAACUACAACUAUUUCAUUUUUUUUUUCAUUCACUCACAAAUUCUUUUACAUGCUUGUCAUUCUCCCAAAAUACAUGAUUGUUUACAACUUUACAAUUCUAAAUCAACAAAAGAAAGUUGAUACAUGAACCAAAAAGGGAAUGACUAAAAUGCAUAACUUCGGUGGCCACUAGCUAUGGCGCGAUACCCUUGCCUCGAUCCUCCACCGCCCCGCUCACGCUCGGAUCUGUAGGGUUAGUGGUGUGAGAACUACAAAGAAAUUCCCAGUGGGUUCGGUAACCGAUCUUGACUUACCCACUAGGUCUAUUUAGGCAUAAGUAUUUCAAAGGAAAGGAAAAGUAGCCAACACUAAUGCUAAUACUAUACCUGUAAGAAAGCUGUCAGUGAAUAUAUAUAAUCAAAUAUGAAUGAUUAUGCAUGCAUGCUCUUUUCAUAAGUAUACUUUGACUUUUACCCAAUCUUACCGGUUAACCUUGUUAACUCCAAUAACUCGCAACCUAAAAUCCCUUUUGUUCGAGGAGGCUCUAAGCACUACAAGACCCGAGGAACCGUCUUCAGAGACCGCGCUCCCCGUGGUGACAAUUUUCGGAACGCACCGCUUUAGGGGGAGCUACCACCCUCAAAUCAAGACUUAUCGUGAGUAUCGAUCCAAUUCCCACGUAGGGAAUGUAUAGCCACUAGCGACAAUGCCACUAUUAUAAUAGGUUUUUACCUAUUUGUUCUUAUCACUUUCUAAGUCAUUCUUGUCACAAUGCCACUAAUUGUUAAACCUUGUUUAACGAUUCAUGUUUCGAUGCCGAUCAUGUCUCUAAUGUCAAUGUCACCUUUAUUUACUAUUGUCUUGGUCCAAGUCUCACAUUCAUACAAUCUUUAGGGUUCUACCAUACAUAUCCAUUAUGGUUCUGUCAUUCUCUAUGUGCAACUACAUUAGAAGCAUAUAAAUGAUGUCUAACCAAAUUUCACAUGUAAAAUUAUCCUAUCAUGCAUGAAUGAUUCUAUAUACAAGUAUGCUCAACAAAGGUGAAAAUAGACAUAAACGAGAAUCCGAUGAUUCCGGCGUGCACCCUCCACCUUGAAUAUUGUAGUAGAGUUGUAGUUCAACUCUCGCGAUUUUAGGACACCUAUCCCGCGAUCUAAACCAAAAAAUAAAGCCAAAUUAGGCUCUAUAUACAAGAUCUCUUACUUAAGCUUUUCGUAACGUCAAACGGAAUUGUCCCACCCAUCGGGAAUACCUCUAAUUAGAUUUCCAAGCGGUCAAUUUAUCUCGUAAACAACAGGAGGCAAAAGCCCCAAAAUCCAUGCCCUAAUAAUGCCAUAAUGGGAUUUUUCCUAGAUUAAUCUCAUCUCUAAGCAAAAGCUAGCUUAGAAUUAACUAGGAAGCAUUCUAAUACCAUUUCCAAGCCUUUCCAUCCCUAGGGUAUCUACUAUGAACCAUAGUUAACCACCAUUAGAGCACAUAGAGCUUCCACGGAUUUUCAUGGAGCUCAUGUCUCAACAAUGUUUCUAACCUUGUAAGAAACUCAAAACUUCAAAACUUAGGGUAAAAAUCCAAACCCUAGAUGUGUUCUUGCAUAAAACUUACUUUAGCCUUAAGCUCCUCCAAGUCCUUGUUGGUGAGCUUCUAGAGCCUUCAAAACCCUCAAAAAUCCUUCUCCAAGCCUUAUUCUCUUUCUCCUUUACCUUGGUGCAAGGCUUCUAGAGAGAGAGAUGGAGAGAAAAUGAGAGGGAGAGAGUUCUCCUUGCUGCUGUAAGCAAAAGGGAGAGAUGGGGUAUUUUAUAGGUUGCAACAAUAGCAACCAGGUCCCCCAAAAAUUCUUAUUUACAGCAGACCAAUUUGGUACUGUCAGACUAAACUGUACUGGUACACGGGUUUUUGUACCGGUACAAAGCUGCGCAGAGGCAAAUCAGAGAGCAGCCUCCACGGAUUUUACCAAAGUGUACCGGUACAAACCAGGGGUGUACCGGUACACUUCCGUGAAAUAACUCAAACCCGAGAGCAACUAUCUCUUGGUUUGCUGGCCUGUACCAGUUACAACUCGAUGGUUGUACCGGUACAUUUUGCCCAGAAUGUAGUUUUAGCUCCUAUUCAACUCUACUUUGCACCGGUCGAUGCUAAAACCUUCCUAACUCUUUCUAAACUUACUUUUAGCUCUUCCAACAUUGUUGGAAUGCUAGACGGAACUUGUCCAACUAUUUCUCUCGACAACUUUAACUAAUUUGGGUAAAGUUCGAUAUUCGCUUUCGGAUUUCAAUAUGUUACAACCACAUCAAGGAGAGCAGAGAGAGGGAGGGAAGAGAGAGAGAGAGAGAGAGAGACAAAGCUUGAAAGGGCUUUGAGUAAAGAAGUGGAAUUUGAAGUUGGAUUUUGAUGAGCACCAUAAAAAUUAAAAGGAAGAUAGAGAUGGAGAUUGAAAGGAUGGUCUCUUCUACCGAAGAGAUGUGAGAGGAAUAGACACGAUCUCUUUCUUUUACACUAUAGGUUACAUCUUCAAUGAAUAGAGAGAUGAAUAAUAAAGUAAGUAGGCCCCACAAUCAAAACUUAAGGUAAUCUUGAUACGUGGACAUAAUUAUAAGAAUUCAUUAUAAUUUAUAGAUUUAUAGAUUAUAGAUUAUAGAUUUCUAAGAUACCACAUUACGACCAUAUUAGUGAAGUAUUAAUAUUUAGUCAACUUAAUUAAACAGGCAAAUUUAAUUGCACUAGUUUACAAAAAUUAAAUAAAAAAUUAUAAUAAAUUAAAGUUUAAGAACCAAAUAGUCGUGGUCCUUAAAAUUUCAGAGCCAAAAAUGCAAUUCAGCCAAAAAAAAAAAAAAAAAAAAAAAAAAAAAAAAAAAAAAAAAAAAAAAAAAAAAAAAAAAAAAAAAAAAAAAAAAAAAAAAAAAAAAAAAAAAAAAAAAAAAAAAAAAAAAAAAAAAAAAAAAAAAAAAAAAAAAAAACAUUGCUACAUAUACAGUCCAAAAAAUGAGUGUAUAUUUUAUACCCACUCAUUGGUGGGCCAAUAAUUGACAAUUGUCUUGUCAAAAUUUUUUUUUAUUACUAAAAGAUCAUAGAGUUUUUUUUAAAUCCUUGGAUAAAGGAGCAUAAUAUGUACGCCCCAUUUUGGGGAUAGCAUGUUGGGGAUAAAACUUUAGUAGAGAGCCUCGCAACAAUGUUCCAUUGGAGAGUUUUUGAUCCGUUGUUAUGUAUUAAUUUUAUUUCUAUCCAAAAUUUUAAAUAUUUUUUAAUAUUAAAAUUUAAAAUAAAUUUAAAUAUAGAGAAAAAAAAUUUUAUAAUAACUAAACAGAAAAUUUUUUUUGGUCUUUUAUUGUCAGGAAGUUCUUUUGGAAGAAACGAUGUUAAUUAUUAAGUAGUACCAUGUCUUGUUUAACAAGUUUGAAUUAACCUAUUCGUAGAUCACACUAGUGGAGCCAUCCGUAUGUUACGGUAGAUCGAAUCAUUAAAAAUAAAUAAAUAAAUAAACUAAAUAAAAAAGAAAUAGCACGAAAAAAAAAGCAAGAAAUUAUAAAAUAAAAAGAAGCAACUUAAAAAGAAAUAACUAUUGCUGCAAUAAAAAUAUAGGAAUAAAAAUAUAAAAGGGAUACAAAAAGAAUAAGGAUAAGAUUAUAAGAAUAAUAAAGCAUCGAUCGAUUUUGUUCAAUUUGUCACGCCCCGGAUGUCUCGUUUUCCGGGCAUGCCGACAAAUCCGCCGUAUACAAAGGAGUUUCUCCUGUAUACGAAACGUCAAAGUAUCUGUAGAUAUACAAUACUACAAACAGUAGUAUAGAGCUGCUCAAUAAACAGAAGUAAAACAACUGAGUUUCAUAUACAUAGACCAAGUCCAAAAUACAGAGUUACUCGCACUGGCGAGUUAAGUAAGCUAUGUAUACAACUCGAAACAAAACAUCUACCUGCAGCAGGGAUGCCUCUAGUUCUGUUGGUUGAGUAGGGCUCUAACUCGCGUCGCCCUUACCUCGAUCCUGGUCUGCGGAAGGCGCAACAGCCGAAACCUGUGGCUCUGCAAAACAGGAGUAACAACUGGGCGUGAGAACUACUGUAAAAACAAGUAGUCCUCAGUGGGUGCCGCCCAAACAACAUCGGUCCACCCACUAAGUCUACAGAAGGGAGCAAAGGUAGAAGUAAAUGCUGGAAUAAAAUCUACAGCUACUAAUUACUACCCUAUCGUGCUCUAGAUAACCAACUGUAGGAAAUGUCAACACUGACCCAAUCCAAUCGGGACUGUAAACAUACCCGUCCCUGGGACUGUGAACGCACCCGUCCCUGCCCAGUUGAGACUAUCCAGCUACCUCCACGCUAACUGGUCCGUGGAGAGCAAGUCCAACCGGCAUGAGCGACACCAACGCAAAAGCACUAAGCCCGUCUCCGAAGUGGCACUCGUGGGCGCUACCCAACCGAGUAUGCAGCGUAUCUCUGUCGAGCUCAAACAGGCUCUCAAAAGCUGAAGUCCAGUAACCGACUCAAAUAGGUCUAACAACCAACUAGUAAACAUGCCCUCGGCACAAUCUGACGCCAAAACGGCGAACCGGGUCCACCGUCAACCCCGACGGCACCCAACAGUCCGAAACGGCCUGAACGCUACAGUAAAAAAAAUCCACUUAGCAUCCCAGCCCGAGUGUAAUUACAUUCUAAACUACCUGGGAUAAUUACUAUGAUAAUACUGCAACAGUAUAAAAUAAUACAACGGCCCCUAGGGCUAAAUCAGAUAGUUUAACAUAUGCCGAUUCCAAUCGUGUUUUCUCCUAAGUCAAAUCCCAGUCCAACAUGUACAUUUAAGAUUUACUAGUCAUGUUCUCAAUACUGAUUUUAUCCAGGAUAGCAUCACGAACAUCAAGCUACAACAUGAUUACCGAAACUGAAAAAUCAUACAUGUCGACGAUUACGGUACUUAGGAAUAAACCGAUGUAAACCCACCUCGAAAGCUAUCCCCUGGCAGCGGUACACUCUCACAGCUGUGGCGCCACCUGCUGGGUCGAUCGUAGCCCUUCGAACCCAAGAAUCGCGCUAACUCCAAGCUCUACACCAAACAAUUCACCGUUUCAGUCCAGUUUUCGCAGCAGUGGAGUACAACAAGGAUUUGACCAAGCUAACCUUCACCAAAUCUGGAAAAUAAGGGCUUCAUGGAUUCCUCUCGAAGUCCCGAAUCCAACGAACCAAGUCUCGUCGCGAUCCGACAUUCCUACGUCGCGUACAAGCUGAAAUACCCACGGUCGACGGUGAAUUUCAGCAAAACAGCAUUUCGAGUAGAAGUAGCAGAAUCAGCUGAAACCUCGGAGGAAUUGGAGAAUAGCUCACCACACCCGCUGUCCAACUCCGGUGCGUCGACGAUAACAGCAACGACUCGCGCUCGCACAGCUUCCUCGCGCUGCCCCGACGUCAAGUACGUGCUCGAUCGGUUCCGCGGCGCGACGUCGACGGCGAAAUCUCUCCGCGGCACUCCUCAAGCUUGUCCCCUGCUUCAGUCGCACGAGAAAGAGAGAGAAACGAGAGACUUAAUUAGUGAAGUGCAUGCACACCCUCCUUAAUUAAACAGAUAUGCAUGCAAUGGGAGGGGGUGUACGUGCAAGUUGCUAAGCGCAUGCAUGUUGAUAAGCAUGCAUGGGUACACGUGGCUCCAAGCCACCAUAAUUAGUAUGCAACCCACUCAAAGAAACUAAUUAAUUACAUAUUAAAUAAAACAAGGAUACUACACAAUUAAUAAUUUCAUUCAAAGAAAAAAAAUUGUUAAAUUAUCUAAUAAAUUUUAGAAUAUUUAAUUAUUAAAAUUAAAAGCUAACAAAUUAUAUUUUGGAUAUUUAAGAAGAUUUUGAAUAUAAAGUUGAUCGCUCGGACUAUAAAUAUGUCAUUGAAGUGUGUAAUUCUCUCAAUUAAAUUAAUUUAAAUAAGUAAUUAACUUAAGUUUUAUCAAUCUUUCUUUUAUUUUUUAUUGUAUAAUUUAUAUCUAUGCGAUCAAUAUUAUGAAACCAAAAUUUAUAUUUAAUACAUACAAUCUAAAUUAUUUAAAAAAUUAUAUAUAAACUAUUAUAUAUUUGAAAUUUUUAUAAUGAGAGAGAGAAAAAAUAGAUUGAAUUUAAAAGAAGACUAAUCUCAUCCUCUGGUGUCAAAAUUAGUGGAGAGAGAAAAAAGAAAAACUAAGAUGAAAACAAAGUAAAAAAAAUAAAAAAACUAAUUAGAUAAACUGGGCGCAACGCCGUCUCCCUCCACCCUUCACCCCUCAGAUGUAGUGUCCCUGAGGUUUAGCUGUUUGGGAGACUUCAGCAUUUGAGGCUUGUCGAUACGUCUGGUAGGUGUUGGGACAAGUCGGAGUCAUUUUGGUGCUAAUUAGACGCAAAACGGACUCAGCGCAGUGCGAGAGUGAAGUUCUGACACUGAAAUCUGCGUGCAGGAUUUCAGUGUUGAGUACUGGUACCUGGGUUGAGUACCGAUGCUCCAGAGAGAUUACAGAACUGAAUGCUCUCAGGUUUGCGCAGUUUGAUGCUGAGUAUCGGUACUUGUUGGUGAGUACCGAUACUAGAACUGAGUAUUGGUACUACAUUGGAGUAGUACCGGUACCCAGCGUGUGAGUUUAGUUCGCUGCGUGUCGGGUAUCGGUACCCAAAUUAAGUACCGGUAUCCAGACGGCAGAUUUGAGUUGGUGAGGGAUAGUUUGGUCAUUUUGAUUGUCGACUAUUCCAACCGACCCUCAGCUCAUAUAUAUGUGUUGGAAGUUUCGAGAAACACAUAUAGCUUUUCCUUUCUCUAUUUCUCUCUAGCUUCUCUCCUCAUCUCGUUGGGAACUUGAGGAAUAAGCUGAUGUUCCUUCUCGUCGUCUUGGAGGUUCGCUCGUGUGCCGUGGUUGAGUCCGGUUGAGGCCGUUGGAGGUCGAGCGAGCGCGCGGAGUUUCUCCCUUCGACUUCUAGCUGGUGUUGGACCAGCGUUCGAGAUUGGUUAAUGUUUACCAAAAUCGUCGGAUUUCCUUUUAAGUCAUAGAAGUUGCAGCAUAUGUUUUCUUAUCUCGAUCACCUUGUUUAGUAGCUCGAAUUUGUAGAUUGCAUGCUUUAUAUGUUGAAUUUGGAGCAUCAUUUAGUGAUUUUAAAUGUAGCUAUAUAUGCUGAACUGUGAUUUGACUUAGAAGAAAACUCAUUAAACCAACACUGUUAUUUUUCGAAAAGUUAACCGAAUUAGCUUCAGGAGCUAUUGUUCUUUUGUAUCUCCGCUGUUAGUGCGUAGUGGAUACUCAGAUUAGUGUAGGUUGAGUUUACGCUCGUGCUGAGGGGCGGAGCUGGUUUUACAGUAGCGUUUGGACUGUUCCGUACUGUCGGGUGCCGUCGGGGCAGACAUGGACUCAGAUGUUUGCAUCUUGUUUCAGAUGGUGCCGAGGGCACGUGAGCAUUGAUUGUUGGACCAAUUUGACUCAUUUGUAUUGACUAUAACCUGUGUGAGCCUGAUUGAACUCGGUAGAGAUACGCUUGCAUACUCGGUUGGAUCGUUCCCACGAGUGCCGCUCCGGAGUGACGCUAGACUUGCGUUGAUGUCGCAGCAGUUCUGUUUGGACAGUGUACUUGGACCGGCUAUUCCUGUGAGUGGUGUACGGUGUAGAUAUAUAUGUUUUAGUUUUAGCAACUCUAUACUUUGGUUGUAGCUCUUAUUUAUUUGCAGAUACAGCUAUCGCUUCGUAUACAUGAAAAAUUUUUAUAUUUACGGCGGGUCUUUUGGCGUGUCCGAAAAAAUAUGGUAAUCCGAAACGUGACAUCUGAUGCCAUGUUGCAUUUUUUAACUGAGGAUUCAUUAAUGUGUGUGUGUACUCCUCGUAGAUUAACUAAUUAAAUUAUUUCAAUAUUUCCAACAUCUAUGUGAUCAAAAUUAUGAUCCGUACAAUCUCAUUAAUUAGAUUGAUGGAGAGUGGAAUCUCAAUUUUGAAACCUACAGCCUAUUCUAACUUUUUGAAUAGAAUAAUGUCAUUUAAAUGAGAUAAAGGAGAGGCUUAUAGUUUUGGUGUCAGAUCCAAGAGAGUUUUGUUACUUUUUGUAGUUUCUGGUAUACUCUCAUUUGUUAUUAUAUCAUGUAUUCUUACUUUUUUGAUAUUAUGUUUUGUUAUUUUUUUGAUGGACUAAAUUGAUACGGUAUUCGCGAAAUAUGAUAUGAUUUAUCACUUCUAUACCAUCUUUUGCUUUAGUUUUAGGUAAAAAUGUAUGGAGACCCUGUCACGCCCCAGGGCCAUUUAGAUUUUUUUUUUUUUUUUAAAUCUUUUAUUUUAAAAUCAGAAUUCGCGAAAAAAUAUAUAAUUUAAUUUUUUUUGUAAUUUAUAAACUUAUGAAUUAGGAACCAAAAAACCUUCUCUGCAUCCCACGGCAAAAGUUGGGCCCACCUGUUAGCCUACCUCCUUGCUCUCUUACCCACCCACACAGUAAAAAAAGCGGGGCUCAUGCCUUUUUGCACGCAAUCCACGAGGUGGGCUUCACAUCGUGGACCGCUUGAUAGGGAGAGAGUGCGGUGGACCUCUCUCUCCCUCUUUGAUUAUAUAUAUAUAUAUAUAUAUAUAUAUAUAUAUAGAGAGAGAGAGAGAGAGAGAGAGAGAGAGAGAGAGAUAUAUAUAUAUAUAUAUAUAUAUCACAAACAUAGAGAGAGAGAGAGAACUAGGCUAGAAUACUAUCAAUAGCACCAAUGACUUGGUAUUAUUAAGUUUUUCAUCCUUGGAUUAAAAUAUGUGCGGUUAGGAUGAUAUGGGCCCCCUAGGGUUGAGUGGGUGGUUGGUUGAAUAGUAUAAUCGAACAGAUGAAAAUGAUAAAAGAGGUAAAUCUAAUGGCAGAAAAUCUGAUAGCACCAAAUAGUUCGUGCUAUUGAUAGUAUUCCAGUCGGACUCUAUAUAUAGAACUAGACUAGAAUACUAUUAAUAGCACCAAGCUAUUGAUGCUAUUAGGUUUUCAACGCUUGGAUGAAAAAAUGUACGGUUACAAUGAUGUGGGUCCUCUAAGGUUGAGUGAGUUAUUCGUUGAGUAGUAUAAUUUGACGGAUAAACAUAGUCAAAGAAUUAAAUUUAACGGCAGAAAACUCGACAACACCAAGCACUUGGUGCUAUCGAUAGUAUCCCAGCCAGACUCUAUAUAUAAUUCAGCUGGGAUACUAUAUAUAGUCCGGCUGGGAUACUAUUGAUAGCACCAAGUGCUUGGUGGUACCGAUAGUAUCAUAGCCGGACUCUAUAUAUAGAACUAUGCUAGAAUACUAUCAAUAGCACCAAGCUAUUGAUGCUAUUAGGUUUUCAGCUCUUGGAUGGAAAAAUAUUCGGUUACGAUGAUGUGAGCCCUCUAUGGUUGUGUGAGUUUUUGAUUGAAUAGUAUAAGCUAACGGAUAAAAAUAGCCAAAAAGUUAAAUCUAACGGCAGAAAACUCGGUAGCAUCAAGCACUUGGUGCUAUCGAUAAUAUUCCAGCCGGUUGUGUGAGUUUUUGAUCGUACUCAUAACUAGUUUUCGAUGAUAGAGCUUCCUAAUUGACGAUCCACACCGUUAAACGUUAUAUAGAGCAUUUAAAAUGUCUAGAAAUCAAAUUUUAUUAUUUUUUUGAUAUCAUUUACCUUGCGAUCAAAAGGUCACAAAAUUGACAAUUUUUAACGGUCGGUAUGUGAUACUUUCUAGUUUAACGGUGUAAAAGAAUUGGAAUAUGUUGAAUUUUUGAUAGAAAAUUCUAUUCAAUAUACCUAUAUAAAGAUCAAUAACUCCGAUCUUAAAUUGAAAGAUCCGAUCAUCCAUUUUUAGGAUGUUGUUCGAUUUUGACCGUUCAUUUUAUGCCCGUUUGAUGGACUUUAUUAUGAUCUCAAAAAAUUACGAAAUUUAUUUUUUAGAAAUUUCAAAUACUCUAGAUCAUAUUUAACGGAGUUGAUCGUCGAUUCAGAAGUCCUAUCAUCGAAAACAAUUUAUGAGUAUGAAUGGCCCAAUAUACUCAUAAGAGUAUAGUAGCUCUACUCUAUAUAUAUAUAUAGAGCUGAGCUGGAAUACUAUCGGUAGCAAACGGGCUUCAUUGCCACUUAUUUGUUUUUGAUGAUGGAGCCUUCAAAUCGACGAUCGGCACCGUUGAACAUGAUCUAUAUCACUUGAAGUAUUUCGAAAUCAAAUUUUAAAUUUUUUCGACAUCAUUGACCGAAUGAUCAAAGGCCUGGUUUUAAGAUUUAUAAUUUAUAAUUUUAAUUGAAUUUUGGUUAGAAAAUUCUUUAAACUAUUUUGAACAAGAUCUAUACUCUCGAUCUUGAUUACAAAAUUUCUAUCAUCACUUUUUAGAGAAUAUUUAUUUUCAGCCGUUCAUUUUUACGCCCACUUGAUGAACAAGAGAACAAUAUCGGAAAAGAAUGAAAUUUGAUUUCUAGAUAUUUCGAGUGGUAUAAAUUAUUUUCAACGAUACCGAUCGUCGAUUUGGAUGCUCCAUCAUCGAAAACAAAUGAGUGGCAACAGAAUCCGUUCGCUACCGAUAAGAUUCCAUCUCAACACUCUCUCUCUCUCUCUCUCUCUCUCUCUCUCUCUCUAUAUAUAUAUAUAUAUAGCGCCAUUCGAUCCCUUCAACCAUGCAUUUACCAACAUUUUUCAAUUAAUUAUUAUUCAUUAGCAGCUUAGUUCCUAAUUAAUAAGCGGCUUACACACACACACACACACACACACANAAUCCUUACACUUUGUCAAUUCAAAGCUUUGAAAUCUGGAACUCAUAAUUAGUAAUUCAAGAAUACUAUAUAGCCUACCUUUAUUCUAAUAUUACACUAUAUAUUCUCUAGUACCCGUGAUCAUAAUUAUUGACUUAAAUUUGUAAAAUCCAACCACCAAAACUCAGUUUGCUUAAUAAUAAUAAUCACCCGGCUCAUCAAUGUCAAGAAUCCGAAGCAAACCCUAACGCGCCUCUAAUGCAAUGCACGCCACUCUUUCAUGCAACCUUUUUAUGGGACAAACAAAGGCAUGCAUUAUAACGCAAGGCGUAUAGCGCUACUCAGCCAAUGCUAUAUAAAAGAUGUCAAAGUGGCUUCUUACGUCUUUAUAUAGAGAUAUAUAAAAAAGGAAUUGAGGUAAAAUAGAUUAUCGAAAUCUAUCUGGAGUUAUGGUUUGAUUCGGAAUCGGUUGAUACAAUCCAUGUAUGCUAGCCACCAUCCUUCAUCUACAAAAUUAAAUCUUUUAAAAUAGUACGUUUUCUCAUUCAACAACUUUACUUAAUAAUAUUAUGGUAUUAUGAAAACCUUAAUUCUUUUAGUAGAAAAAUAAAAAUAUAAAAAGAGCUACUACUUUAUAGAUUUAACUGUUAGUUGUGAUAUCUAAUAAUAGACGUUAUAAAAAAUUUUAACUUAAAAUGCUAACAUAUUGUAAUUAACGAAUGAUUAGUUCACCAUAGUUUUGCAUGUGAGGUAUAACUGGUACUUUUAUCGAUUAAUUAAACCUUUGACGUACUUUCGAUUCAUGUAUACUAUAAUUUUUUAGUGUUUAAAAUAAAAAUCUUCCGAGUUUAUAAGAUAUAAUAUAAAUUGUUCCGGCAAGUAUAUUUAAGGCUAAGGGGUAGUACUUUUAUUCUAUUUUCAAGUUAAUUCCCAGAAAAUUGGAUUUCUUAAGGAUGAAUUGAAGAGAAUAUUAUUAAAAAGAUCAUCGUGAUGAACAUCGUAAAGUAGUUUAUUAUAAUAUAAUAAUAGAUUGUCCUGGAUUACAUAAACUAAUUCUUAAACUAUCAACCAUAAACUCCAACGUUAAAGCUCCGUAUCAAUUAAAUACGAAGAUUGGUCCCUGCUUCGAUAUACCUCCGGGUCCCACCGGUACCGGGAGAGUUGAAAAGUUAUAAACAAAUUACCAAGAAGUUUCCAAAAAAAAAAAACCUGGUAUCUAUCGAAACCGGAGGGAGUUGAAAAGUUAUAAACAAAUUACCAGGAAGUUUCAAAAAAAAAAAAAAACACUUAGUACCUAUCGAAACCGGGAGGGAUCAAAAAGUUAUAAAUGAAUUAUCAUACCACGGUUAUAUUGAGAGAGAGAAAGAGGAUUAGUCAUAUGAAAAAAAUAACCACUUUUAUAUAAUUUUCGAAGAACGAAUAUCUCAUAAAACAUUAUAUAAAAGGAGGAGAUUUUUAAAAUAAAUUAUUAAAAAAUUUUGAAAAUAAAUAGAAUCCACUCGAGAAAAUAAACUGAUUUAGUUAUUAACGUGAUUUAAAUUAUCAAUACAAUUAAAAUAAAUGUUUUUUUAAUUCUUUAAUGAUAAUCUAAAUCAUUUUAAAGAUUCAAUAAAAUUAUAUUAUUAUAUUUUUUUAUUAAUCUUCAAUUUGUAUACUUUUAUUUUUGUAUUUCAAGUAAGAAAAUAUAAUAAAUAAAUUAAUUUUUAAAAAAUUAUUUUUUAAAAAUUAAUCUUUUUUUUUAACAAAUAAUAAAUAAUGAUUUCAAAGAUAAAUUUAUAUAAAACCGGGGGAGUUCUAAUUUAAGAUCGAAGCAGGGACGAAGAUUGAUUAAAUAAAGAAUUUUUUAUUUGUUUUCCUUAUGAUAUGGUUGAAAGAGAUUUAUUUUUAUAAUAUGAUAUAUUGAUAGAGAUAGAGAGAAAGAGAGAGAUUUUUUAAGUAGAGAGAGAGAGAGAUCUUUUAACUUUAAACUCCAUGUGUUACUACGAACAGGAACACAUUGGAUUAGUUAUUGGUGGUGUCUCCGUUUUUGUUUUCACCCUUCCCUACAUUACUAAACAAAAAAAGGAAAAAAAAAAAGGAAGUUACUACGUAUGGGGGAUCAGUACAUGUCUACCUUAAUUGACUUUUCCCAUGGACUAUCCCGGAAAAGUAAACAGAAAGUGUAGGUGAUGACCCCUCAACGUCUUCCCCCAAACGUACCUCUUUUAUAUACAGAUCGAGUUAUCACAUGACGAACCCGGGUUUGGAUUGAAUGAAAAAUCAAUUCUUUUAAUUACGAAAAUAGUUGACAAAGAUCUUGUUUAUCAUUUGUUAACUUAUCAAUCGUGCUCUCUAGAGUUCAAAGUUUUAAUCAACGAAGUAUAAAAAUUGAUUCAAAUAAAAUUUUUUAUUAAUUUCACUUAUCUUACAAUAGAAAGAGAGAGUUUUUUUUUUUUUUAAAAAAAAACUUUCUCUAUCCAUCGUGCGAUGGGCGAAACAAAUAAAGUAAAUCUUUAUUUGAAUCGAUCUUUAUACUUAAUUGAUCCUAAGUUUGAACCCAGAGCCUAUGGUUGGUGAUUCAAGAAACGGUGAACGAGAUUCCUGCCAGCCAUUUUUUUUUUUUUUUUUUUAUUAUUAUUUUAUUACGAAUUAAACCUAUCUUAAUAAAUUUCAUUUGAAAUUAAACGGGUAGACACUAAAUCGAGUGAAAGCGAAAUGGUGAUAUUCCAAGUUUCUGAAUCAAUACCAACAAAUCGAGUAAAAAUGAAACGAUAAGAUAAAUUAUUUUCUAACGACCUGUUUUAUCUACAUUCUAGUAUUUUUUUCAAUUCGUGUUGAAAAACUUAGUUUUCCACCGUUUAAUUUCAAAUGUGUUAUUAAAUAUAUCUUAAUACCAUACAAACAAACGAUUUCAGUAGGUUGAGUGUACAUAGUUAUUUAAUGUCGAAUUUUAAUUCCUGUUGUAAAACUUUUUAAACAUCUCUAUGGGAACCAAAUUUAGGGAAUCGAUAGAUGGAAUACUACGCAAGUUUAUGAUACUUUGUUGAUAUUAAAACGUUUUUUGUUUUCAAUAGUACAAAAAUUAUAAAUAUAAAAUGUGAAAAGCAGCUUAGACUUAAACUCUAUAAACCUAUCCGAUUUCUGCGUUUAGAAUUUAAUUUAUUCUCUUUUAAUUUAUUCUGAUUUAAAUACUACUCUAAGCUUAAGUUUUGGAGAAUAAGAUUAUGGUAGGAUUUUCUACUCCCUGUUACCAAAUAAAAAGUUUUUGGAUCCAUCCGAUCUCUUUAAACACAAUUGUACUACCAACUGAGCCGUUAUAAGUUACUUACUGAUUAAAGAAUAAUGAAUUAACACGUGUUACCACUAGUACAAGCUUCAUCCAAAAUAUCAUGUUGUUGUACUUAGAUGUUCAGUCUACUAGUUUAGAACCUUAAAAAAAAAAACCAAGGAAAAAAAAAGAAACAAAAAGUUUUUUUCUCUUUAUAUUAAUAUUUAACUCUAAUCGAGUAAGUUAAUUCGGUACGUACCUUUAUAUAAGAAACAGUACAAAAAUAAACUUACUACCUCAUAGAAUGAAAGGUUAGUCCCAUAGAAAAGGAGAAAUUAGUUUAAUAUAAAACGAACAACCCAUCUAUAUCCAGCUUCUAAAAUUGUUAGUUAGGAAAAACGUUCUUAUACAACUUAGUUGAGCAUAUAUGUUAAUAUUAAUUAGGGUUUUAUCAAUACUAAUACUGAUAAAACAUGAACGAUAUAUAUACUAUUAUGAAAUAAUACCGAGCAUACUUUCUACACGAUUGUUUCAUUUGUAUUAUAGAAUUUAUUCCCGAACAAACCAAGUAGGUAAAACCCAUACCUUACCUUUAGCCAAACUAGUUUAAGCUAAUUAAAACAAACCAAACGUACUUAACCAAACCUUAAGGAUAAGGUCUGACCUUACCCUUAUCGGGUAAUCAGAAGUUGAACUAAGGCCAGAAGAUCGAGUCUAACUCUAAAGUAAGGCCUUUGGGAGAUUCAAGAGCUUCGGGUACACUGGUAGAGUGGGAGAAAGAGAAGUGGGGAAAGAGUAUUUUUUUUUUUUUUUGAUAGUAGAGAGUUUUGGGACUAAAUUUUUUCUAAAUAAGUGAGCGACACAGAUAUCAAAUUAUCUUUCUCUAUGAAAAAACAGACAUUUUGUCAAUCUAACUCUGAGGUGAGAUCAGAGCGCAUCUCCUCAACUAGAGCUUUUCCCUGAGAUUGGUGUCCCUGCAGUGGAAGCAGUACAUAGAGCACAUGGGCUAGUAAGUACUUUAAGUACUGCUGUGGUCUCUGAUUAAACUACACGAAGGUGCUUCCAGAAUGCGCCGGCUAUAUAUAUAUAUAUAUAUAUAUAUAUAUAUAGCCGGCGCAUUCUGGAAGCACCUUCGUGUAGUUUAAUCAGAGACCACAGCAGUACUUAAAGUACUUACUAGCCCAUGUGCUCUAUGUACUGCUUCCACUGCAGGGACACCAAUCUCAGGGAAAAGCUCUAGUUGAGGAGAUGCGCUCUGAUCUCACCUCAGAGUUAGAUUGACAAAAUGUCUGUUUUUUCAUAGAGAAAGAUAAUUUGAUAUCUGUGUCGCUCACUUAUUUAGAAAAAAUUUAGUUAGGAAUGUGAAACAGUUAAGUUUCGAAACUUUAGACCUUGAGUAUUAAUCAUUAAGUUCUUAUGAUAUAUCGGAUGGAAAUAAGAUUAUAAUGUGAUAUAUAAGAGAUCAUGGGCACUAGUAUUAAUAACUGAAUUUAAACAUUUUAGGUUGGUGGUUUUGAGUCAAACGAAUUAUUAUUAUUAGUGGGCCGAGUAGUUACAGUUCUUAGGCUUCGUUUGGGAUUGCGCGGAGAUUACGUUACGUGCGGUGAGAAAGUACGUUGGAAAAAUACCCUGUUUGUUUCCGUACGUAAUAUUGCGUUCCGCAUAUCGCGAUGAGUCGGUUACGAUAUAUUUUCUACAGUUUCACCGAAGAAUGCAGAAAUAUAUCUCUAUAUAUUUUUUCCUUAACUCCAUUUUAUCUAAUAGCUUUAGAUAGACCUCAAUACCAAACUAAGCCUUAGCCAACUAUGUUAGGUACAUACGAUCGGUGGUAGGAAGUAGAUGUUUUAAUUUAGAAAAUUUUAUCAUGCAAAAGAGUAAGUUGUUGAAAUGAAUUAUUAUAAUACCAUAAUACUUUUGGAAUUAAGAAAAUCAUCUUUUUAUUUUUAUAUUUUUCUCGAUGAUGAAAUAUCUAAAUUGACAAUCAACACUAUAGAUUAUUAUCUGCAAUAUUUUUUAAAAUUGAAUUUUACGAUUGUAUAACAUUAAUUGCUUACUAAUCAAGUGGUAUCAAAACGUACACUCCAUAUUGACCAUGAAAAUAGCUAAUUAAUUUGGAAACUGCAUGAAAGCUAAGUACAUAUGAUAUUAAAAAAUCACAAAUUUUAUUUUUAGAAGGCUCAAAUAUUCUAUAUUAUAUUUAACAAGGCCGUUCAUAUAAAUUCCGAUUCCCCAUCAUGAAAAUAAGAUAAAAGUUCAAUUAAGGGUCUUUUAACCUAAAGAAUUCCUACUUAACUUCUCUUAUAAUAAUUUUUCUAGUAGCACUACUUGUAGCAUUUCAUCAAAUAAUAUUAUAUUAUUAUCUAACAGGACCUAAUGUAUUUGAUUAAGAAUUUGAUAGUUGGUAUUUGAGGUUGCAAUUUCGAGGCAUAGUUAAUUUAUGCUUCUAACCAGGGACGAAGCUAUAUGGAGGCCCAGGGUGGCCAUGGCCCUCUCAACUUUUCAAUAUUUGUUUAAUGGUUCUUCAAAGGUUUUUUUUUUUUGGACCAUAGAUAGCUUUGGCCUCCCUCAACUUUUCAAUAUUUGUUUAAUGGUCCUUCAAAGUUUUUUUUUUUUUUUGUGAAUCAUGGAUAGCUUUGGCCCUCCCUAGUUUUUCAAUAUUUACUUAAUAGUAUGGUGCCAAUAUAACUCUCUCUCUUUCUCCUAAUCAGUAUACUUUUUUUAUUGGUGAAAAUAUAUUAAAAGCUUCUUGCUUAUAGAGUAUUUUGUAAUAUAUUUUCCUCCUCUAAAAAUUUUAUUUAAUAAUUUUUUAAAACUUUUAUUUAUCUUAGGUGAGCUCUUUUAUUUGACUAAAUCAAUAAUUGCACUAAAUUUAAUAGUUAUGUUAAUUUUAUUUACAAAAAAAUUAAGAAAUUACUAUUAGAUUUAGUAAAAUUUCUAAGUUAUUUUAAUAUAAUAAUAUAAAAAUAAUAAUUAGAAGUUAAACAUACGAAAGUAAAAAACAUAAAGUUCAUUCUUUUAUAUUAUUUAUUUAAUAAAAAAUUUUUAAUUAGAAAAAAAAAAUUGUUUAUUAUUUAUUACUAAAGUUUCUAAUUAAAUAUAUUUUGGCCCUCCUCAAGAUUGAAUUCUAGCUUCGUCCCUGGCUACUAUACUCUUAUGAGUGUAGAACUGUUUAUACUUAUAAAUUUUUAACCAUUGGAUGAAGAGAUGUGCGGUUAGAAUAAUAGUAGUCUCCGAUUAAGAUGAUAGUGAACCCCUAGGAGUGAGUGGGUGGUUGGUUGAAUAGUAUAAUCUAACAGAUAAACGUGGUUAAAAGAGUAGAUCUAACGGCCGAAAAUUUAUGAUUACAAAGAGACCUAUACUCAUAACAGUAUAGUAGCCCGACUCUCUCUCUCUAUAUAUAAGUAUAAUUAAUACAACUAGAGCUUUUAAUUCAAUUAUAAUAUUCUAGCGAUAGUUAAGCCUAAGAGAUUAAGAGAUUUGAAUGAGUCUAAAAUUAGAGUAUAAUUAGAGGUGUCGCAAAUUUAGAUAACAAAGCAGUUAAUUAAACCUCAGUGGAGGUGGGACAUGCAUGUAACAUGUUGAGCAGCAUAAAUUCUUUAUACCUAAUCCGCCUUAGCAUCCAAGAGCUUAUUUUAAUUGCGCAUGGACAGCAUUGACUUUUCACCUGAGAAUCUGAGACUCCAACACUAAACAAAAGGCCUCUAUCUAUACAUGAAUGAGGGCUCCAUUGUUCUCAUAUAAUUAAUUAAGUUAAUACAAUGAACACAACACCUCAAAUGGUUCUUUAUUCCCCCACUUGUAACACCUGCAACUCUUGGUGAGCACCUGGGGGGAAAAGCUGUCAUAAUUAAGUGCUGGUGCAAAUUGAAUAAAUAUAUUAAUCUGCGUCAUCAUUUUGUGGGCCUCGGAGUAACACUCUAUAUAUAGGAUCCCCAUGGUACUCCUAGAAGUCGUUUUGGAAACUAAUAUAUUAGCAAGAAAUUAAAGAUCGAGCACAAUAACUUGGUAGCUUUUUAACCCCUUUGAACCUCUAUGGAGGCAGUUAGCCUUUUUCCAUGCCCCAAAUUAAAUAAUAAUAAUAAUAAAUCUAAUUAUUAUAGUUAAAUAGUGCGUGUCAACAUAUAGUGAGGCAUUAAGUGCCCAAGUCGACAGAGAGAUCAACUAUAUAUAUAUAUAUAUAUAUAUAUAUCACUAUAAUAAAAACGGUAUAUAGCGACACUUUUAAAUAUCGGUAUAAGUUAAAAAAAGUGCUGCUGGCUAAGUUACUGACACUUUUUAAAAGUGUUGUUUUAUGUGAAGUCGCUAGGUAUAGAGUGACACUUUAAGAGUGUCGGUAUAACUUAAAAAGAAUGCUGCUAAUUUACCAACACUUAUUUAAACAUUUAUCAACCAUCGGAACCCUACCUCAUCGNAGUGCUAGAGAUAUUAUUUUUAAAAUUUAGAAGGGUACUUAUGAAAUUGCCCCUUAAUUAUUUCAUUAUUUGCUAUCAAAAUAAUACCUAACCUUUUUAGGGCUAAAUUAGUCAUUUUGUAACUCAACUUUUAUUUAACCCAACUUCAACCAUAGUUUUAGUAACAGUCGUUAGAUGGAAGGGUAAUUGUGAAAAAUUUUUGCAUUUGAAGGGGUAUAUAUGAUAUUUUCAACUUUGUAGGGGUAUUUAUGAUAUUUUCAUAUUUGAGAGGGGUAGUGGUGAAAUUGCCCGUAUAUUCUUUGUCAUGUUUUUAUUUGAAUGAUGGAGUAUCUUACUUUCCAAUCAGGGUAUCUUUUCCUUUUUAAUCAAAUUAUAUUUUGCUUGUUGGGUAGAUAUAGGUCGAAGAUUUUAACAAUCAAUCCUUUUUGCAAGAAUAUGAUGAAUCAACUCGUAUAUACAAUUAUAAUUAAUCCCAAAAUAGUUAUGAUUAUGACUAUUUUGUACUUGCUAUAUAUAUGAUAAUACUUUAUUAUGGCUCGUAUGAAAGAUGUGCUAACAAAGUAAACAUAAUAUCUUAAAUAAGGGCUUGUUUGGUUCAUCCAUUUUGGGUAUGGAAUGGAAAUCGGUUUGAUCAAAUUCGAUUAAUUUUGUUUGGUUUGCAUGAAUUGGUUUGGAAUUCCUAUUCCAGACUGGAAUGGGAAUAGCCCAUUAGUCUUCAACUUGAUUCCGGUCUUCUAGCUCACAUUGAGAUUUCAUUCCGGAAACCCUCUAAGUUCUCGAAGCCCAGGUGACAAAAACAACAAAAAAAAAAAAAAAAAAAAAAAAAAAAAAAAAAAACAACGUAUUCUCUCUCAAAACCCUAUCCCUAACUCACAUCAAUAAAAAUUUUUAAAAAUAAAUUUGAUAUUUUUUUUGAAAAACUUAUUAGAGAAUAAUAUUAUAUUUUUCAUAAAUUUUAAAUAAUAUAAAUUUAUAUUUGAGAGUAAAAUUAGUAUUAUAGUAUUCUAUAAUUUUUUUAGUUUAUACGAACCAAACAAUAAAAUAUGAAUAACUCAUUCCAAUUCCCAAUCCAUAAAUAAACCAAAUGUCUUGGGGGAGUGGGCCAUUCCAAUUACCAUUCCAAUUCAUUCCCAUUCUAUUAUCCAUUCCAAUUCCACCCUUGAACCAAACAAGCCCUAAGUGUGUAUCUCUGAUUUGAUUCGCACAAGUGAUCCUCAAUUUGGCUCUAAACUGUGCCUCAAUUAAUUAAUUAGUGUCCUUUAAAUUGUGGCUAGAUGUAUAAAUUCUUCAUAUAUCCAAAAGCACACCAACUUAUUUGAAUGUCAAAAUAAGUUAUUAUAUAUACAUAUAUAGUCCGUUUACUAUAUUUUUAUGAGUAUUAUUGGUUUCGUAUUCAUAAGUUGUUUUUUAUGAUAAAGCUUUUGAAUUGACGAUUCAUAUUGUUAAACAUUAUUUAAAGCAUUUAAAAUUUUAAAAUUCAAAUUUUAUAAUUUUUUAACAUCAUUUACCUUAUGAUAAAAAAAUCUCAAAAUUAAUAAUUUUUAACGACUGAUAUGAGAUACUUGCUAGUUUAAUGGUGUAAAAGAAUCGAAAUUGAUUGAAUUUUUAUAGAAAAUUCUAUUCAGUAUCUAGAUAAAGAUCAAUAACUCCAAUCUUAAAUUGAAAUAUCCGGUUAUCCAUUUUUAAGAUAUCGUUCAAUUUUGACUGUUCAUUUUAUGUCCGUUUGAUGGAUUUUAUUCUGAUUUUGAAAAAUUACGAAAUUUAUUUUUUAAAAGUUUUAAAUACUCUAGAUCAUAUUUAACAGAAUGGAUCGUUGAUUCAAAAACUCUAUCAUUCAAAAAUAACUUAUGAAUACGAAGGGCUAUAUACUCAUGAUAAGAGUAUAGUAGCCCUACUCUCUCUCUCUCUCUCUCUCUCUCUCUCUCUCUCUAUAUAUAUAUAUAUAUAUAUAUAUAUAGUGUUUGUAGGUGGAAUAGUGUUUGAUCCAAGGGGUAUUAGUAAUUAUGGAGUGGAUCCAAAGGUUAAAAACUUAGAAGCAUCAAGUGGAUGGUGCUUCUAAAAGUAUCAUAGCUCAACUCUAGUGGAGCUAGAAUACUCCCAAAAGCACGAAAUGGGUGGUGCUUUAGAAUUUUUAGCCCUUGGAUGGAGAGAUGUGAGGUUGAGAUGAUGGUGGUAGGUGGUGGUAGGUGAUGGUAGGUGGAAUAGUGGUGGUAGAUGGUGGUAGGUGGUGGUAGGUGGAAUAGUGUUUGAUCCAAGAGAUAUUAGUAAUUAUGGAGUGGAUCCAAAGGUUAGAAACUUAGAAGCACCAAGUGGAUGGUGCUUCUAAAAGUAUCAUAGCUCAACUCUCUCUCUCUCUCUCUCUCUCUCUCUCUCUCUCGCUCUAUAUAUAUAUAUAUAUAUAUAUAUAUAACUAGGCUGGAAUACUAUCAAUAGCACCAAUGACUUGGUGCUAUUAGGUUUUCUGCCCUUGGAUUAAAAGAUGUGUGGUUAGGAUAAUGUGGGGCCCCUAGGGUUGAGUGAGUGGUUAGUUGAAUAGUAUAAUAGAACUUGGUGCUAUUAGGUUUUCUGCCAUUGGAUUAAAAGAUGUGUGGUUAGGAUAAUGUGGGGCCCCUAGGGUUGAGUGAGUGGUUAGUUGAAUAGUAUAAUAGAACUUGGUGCUAUUAGGUUUUCUGCCAUUGGAUUAAAAGAUGUGUGGUUAGGAUAAUGUGGGGCCCCUAGGGUUGAGUGAGUGGUUAGUUGAAUAGUAUAAUAGAACUUGGUGCUAUUAGGUUUUCUGCCAUUGGAUUAAAAGAUGUGUGGUUAGGAUAAUGUGGGGCCCCUAGGGUUGAGUGGGUGGUUAGUUGAAUAGUAUAAUAGAACGGUUAAAAAUGAUAAAAGAGGUAAAUCUAAUGGCAUAAAAUUUGAUAGCACCAAAUACUUCGUGCUAUCGAUAGUAUCCCAACCGGACUGUCUCUCUCUCUCUCUCUCUCUCUCUCUCUAUAUAUAUAUAUAUAUAUAUAUAGGGGUGGCAAUCCAGCUCGCUGUUCGCGAGCCAGCUCGUGUUCGGCUCGAAAUGAGCUCGAGAUCGGCUCGCUCGUUUAGUAAAUGAGCCGAACACGAGCUAGGGUCAGUUCGCUCGUGUUCGGCUCGAAAUGAGCUCGAGAUCGGCUCGCUCGUUUAGUAAACAAGCCGAACACGAGUUGGAUUUUUCAGCUCGUUUAAUAAACGAGCCGAACACGAGCUGGGAUCAGCUCGCUUGUAUUCGGCUCGAUAACAGCUUGAAUACAUAUAUUUUAUAUUUAUAUAAUUUAUAUUUUAUAUAUAAAUAAAUAUUAUAUAGUAAUAUUUUUUUAUCAUUUAAUUUUAGUAAAAUAAAAUUAAAUGGCAGUUUAAUUAAUAAAAAAUUCAUUUAUAUGUAAAGUUUCAACUAUUAGAUCAAAGUCUAAUGAAUAAAAUUUAUAAAUUUAUUUUUUAUAUAUACUUUAAUUCUAAUUUUUUUUAAUUAUGUUCAAUGAAGAUCCCGGACUAUCCACCGCCCUCCGUCCACGCACCCCCGCCCUCGAGCAUUGCGGCUCGUUUAUAAACGAGCGAACACAGAGUUGAAUUUUCGGCUCCCGAAUACUUUAACGAGCCAGCUCGUGUUCCGCUCGUUUACACCAUAUAUUAAAUAUUAUAUAUAAUAUAUAUAUAUAUAUAUUUAUUAUAUAGAGAGCUAUUAUGCUAUCGGAAAACAGUGCCAUACAAGUAGUUGGUGCUCCGAAUUUUUUAGCCGCUUAGAUGCAAACCUUAUUGAUCAUGUUCUAAGCAUUAGAUUAAUAUUAUUAACCUAAUUGGAACGACUCAACCUAGGGGGACCACUUCAACCCUAAAGGGGACCACUAUCCAUCGUCCAACCGUAGGAAAAAAAAUUUUUAUUGAUCUAAAGGCUGAAAAAAUUGAAAGCCGUAAACUACUUAUGUUUCCAUAGCAUUGUAGCUCUACACACCAACUACUUUAUGCUUCCGAUAGCAUAGGUAGCCCCACACAUCACCCUGACAAAAAAAUGAACGGUGAAAAAAUAAAAUUCUUUACAAAGUAAUGAUAGGAGUCUUAUAAUCAACGAUCAAGAGUAUAGAUCUUGUUCUAAAUAGUUAAAAAUUUUCUAUCGCAAAAAUCAUUGAUUUGGAUAUCUUACGCCAUUAAACGAGAUAUACGUUUUAUAUCGUACCAUUAAAAUAUAAAUUUUGAAACCUUUGAUCAUUAAGCUAAUAGUGUCGAAAAGAUUGAAAUUUGGUUUAGAUACUUUAAGUGUUACGGAUCAUAUUCAACGGUACCGAUGUCAUUUAGAGGCCCAUCUGUCAUGGGCUCCGGAUUACAGCGUUUCUCCGCGGCCCAACAGACCGGCCGUAUUACAUAGAAAUUUUUCCUGUAUAGAAGCGAAUAGCUGUACCUGUAAGCACAAAAACCCAAGCUACAACGGCAUAAGGAAAUGAGUUGCUAAAAUCUGCAAAAAUAAUAUAUAUAUAACUUCGAGGGUUCCUGUAUUAAUAUAAAAAAGUAUACAAACAAUCGCUCCCAGCGAGACGCAACGCCCGACAAUAACAUAAAUAUGUGGCAAGGAAAGCCCAAAACUAUCUCUAGAAGGUACUCCUCUUACAUAUUGCAGCAAGCUGGAGGGAUUCUAGCUCGCGACUACCAUUUUCACAUCAAUCGGUGACAAGCAACUAGCCACCGGACAAGAGAGGCUAUAACAAAAAGGGGAAACAACUGGGUGUGAGAACUACUGCAAAAAGACAGUAGUCUUCUCAGUGAUACUGCACCGAUCUCGAACGGCCACCCACUAUGGUCACGCCCGGGUUUCCCCUUUAGUUAAAAACAUAGCGAAAAAAAUUUUUUUAUUUUUUGGCAAACCUGACCCCAGGGUAUGCCCAAUCCGCCCACAAAUACAGGAAAUCCCUGUUUACACUGGACAGAGUCUCCCCUGUAUUUGCACGGCGUCCCACAAGUACAAGAGUAUCACCAGGAAACAACCCAAACAACCAAAUGAAUAGUAAAAUAACUGUACAUCUCAUACAUUCCACCAUUCACUAUCACAGUUUUACAUUUAGUGUUUUAAAUAGAAAUUCACGAAAAUUCCUUUUGAAAAACUAUUCCCUACACGGAUAAAGCCCUACACGGAAGGAACCAGCGAUCAACCUUUAUUUCCUUUAGAAACGCUACCAGAGGGGUAGAAAACCUUUUAAUUUCAAGAAAACACAAUUCCUUUAAUUACAUUCCAAAACCAACUGAAAAACUCAAGAUAUUCAAAAUAAUAAAAACAAACUGAACCUAUGUAGACCGACUAAGCUAUAAAUAGACACCAGAAAUAUAAAAAAGGAUAAUAGCUAAUCGAAAUAACCUGGGUCGAAGCUCUAUCGACCCGCUUACGACACGUACCCUCACUCUCGUCCCACUACUCAAGCCCGCGAUACCUUGAAUAAUGGUGGGGGAGAUAGAACAUUAAACAUGCUCCCCUCGCCAGUGGGUACCGCAAAGCGAAAUAAGGCGAGAGGCAUACUCACCGGAUCAGGAAAGCCUAUAUAACAGGUACCCGGUGUCAUGUGGGAAUAACAGUAGGUAACAGUAGUAAACGUAUAGAGAUGUAUAAGGUUAUGAGCAGUAUAUACCUAAUACAGUACAACCUAAAUUGAAAGAGAGCAGGACUAGACUGGAAUAAUGGCUACCGCUACUGUAACUUGGAACAGAAAGCAUAAAUGAAUAUCUACUAUUGUAGCAAGACAACUAUAAGAAGAUCUGUAAGUAUGCAAUGCAACGACUGCUACUAUAACAUAUUGCGUCAAUGGGACAAUCCAGUCCAAAAGUUACCCCAAUCUUGAAACCAUGCUCUCUCUUGGUCAAGCACCGCAAGAACCUCAAGCCAAAUGCCUGGAGGUCCGCACCCGCAACACCUCCCCGACCAGUACCACUGCCGCUCUAACAUGCAUAUAGAACCUCUAGGGCUCACGGGUUAUUUCACCAUUCACCACUUUUCCGAAAAAGACACUCCUUCGCGGUGAUCAGACGCCAGUGUUCGUGAAAUGCGACGAUAUCGGGCGAUCAAUCAAUAUGGUCAAUUGAUCAACCGUCAGGCAACCAGCCCGACAAUCCUGCCCCCAUGAGCCUAUCGGAACCGCAUAGGUCAUCCAAACGUAAAGAAGCCAAGAACGGCACUCAGGUCAACUUGAUGCGACAAUAUCGACAUCCUCUCAAACAUAUGCAAAUACUGACUAAUCAAGUCAACUGGGAUGGAACAACUCAACAUCCUACCCCACAGUAUGUAAAUGAUACUGAUCAAUGAGUCAACUACUGGUAGUAAGUAGCAAGAAUCGUCAACAAGUCAUCCUGAGUAAUAUGAUCUACGAACAUCGUCGGCCGACCUAGUCGACAAUGCCUACCCCUUAGGGUACACCGACCUCAAAGGUCAUCAAACAACAAGAGUCAAGGAACAAACCGACCUAUAUACCAGAUAUAGAACAAGAACAAAUCAGCUAGGUCACCGUUCCAUGAAAAUCACGAAAACCGCUCUACUCAAAUAAACAUGAUACAGGAUAUGCAGAAUAGCUGAGUAGUGCAAUAAAGAAAUAUGGUAUAACUACUCUACUUCUACUCAUGAUAUAAAGAGAACAACCGAGUAGAGUGUAACUGAACAACAUGGUGCUAGGCUCAACACUAUAUAUCAAGAUAUAUAUAUGCUAGAUAAUAACGAAAGAGCAAAGGUAAGAAACCAUCACCGAGCGUGCACCACUGUACCGACGUCGGAUCGAAAUACCCACCUGUACAACUGUCGCGCCUGUCUCCUGACUGCAAAAGAACGUCAACAGGACCUAAGGAGGGUCCACUGGGUUAGUGUCUAACCUACGACUAAGAAACCCUUAAAAGCAUAACCCCACAAAUAAACCACUAAAUACACAACCCACAAAUAAUCCCACGGAGAUCGGUUUCCCAAAACCGAUUACCGAACAAACUGGAAAUCCCGAAAACCGCACCGAGACUCUGCUGGGACCCACGGACUGUCCCGGAACUCACCGACUCGCACUACGAGUCACCCGCUGCCACUAAACGCCAUUAUUCAUGGUUCUUGGCAGCAAACACCUAGCCUCACAUCGAAACGAUUAUCGUCGGAUAAUUAUUCCGAUCCGGAUUCCCGGAAGUGUCUAUUUCGACACCGGAACCCACCGUCGCUCACCCGUCAUUUCCGAACCCUCGAAAUGACACGGGUGACCAGCCAAUAAGGCUCAACGACUACACAUCAGCUCACGAAGUACCGUCGGAAUAAUUUCGAACCGAACCCGCAUUCCGUCGGCGGAUUUCGCCGAGAAACGCACCGGAAAUCACUUUUUGAUUUCCGCAAA
rnacentral:lncRNA from 1 species